UAAUGUUAUAUACAGUAUUAUAAGUAUAUAUACAGUAUUAUAAGUAUAAUAUUGUAUGUAUAUAUAAAAAACAUGGUCUCACUAUAUUUCCGGAUUAAACUUGAUCAAACGCCUGGACUCAAGCAAUUCUCCUACCUCAGCUUCCGUAGUACCUUGAACUACAGGUGUGUACCACUGUGUUUGACUAAUUGUUAACUCUGUAGUUUUGACCAUGAAGUUAAAACCUAAAACUAGGAUAUCAUUUAGGAAAAAAAGAUUAGGUGCUGACAUAAACUAACUUUUAAAAUAUUUGGGCUUCAACUUUAUCUGUACACGUAUUUCCAGAACCCUUGGGCUUUGUAGGACUGGCAAAACUCCACUUCCAUCCUCUUAGGGUUCCAGCUGGGCCUGAGAAUUCAAUUGACAUAAGACAUUAACUGGAGAAAAACAUACAAAUUUAUUUAAUACACAUUUUACAUGGCAUGGGAGCUCUCGUAAGGAAAUGAAGACCCAAAGAAGCAGUUAAAGUCAGUCAUUGAUAUACUGAAUUGGACAAAAAUAGUAGCUGUGAAAAAGCAGCUAAAUUGUGUGGGGAGGCUUAAAAGAGAAGAGUUAUUUUAACAAGGUCUGUACAGAAUUCUUUUGGUCUCAACUUCAUCCUUGAGGAUAAGGAUGUUAUUCCUUUUGGUAUAGUGAGGGUAUCUUUCACAUAGGAAUUUCAUCUCCUGCUUUUAGAAAACAGAAAACAGGUUAGGAUGAUCUUUUUGCACCUGCUGUUUUUCAAGUGCCUUUAAUUCAAAGUAGUCAAUAUGUCUUAGUGAUACAUUUUUAACUCCUUCAGCUUAAAUGGAAGAUUCAUGUUUUCUUGAAAGGAUUUGGAAUAUGAAGUUUCCUGCAGAAUUUUACACCUAAGAUGUAUAAACAUAAGAACUUUACCAGAAUAGAGCAGUGAGAGUCUGAAACAAUCUUUCAAGAAAAAUCUGAUGAUAUCUCCUGAACAUGUAUGUAAUAUUUUGGCUAUAAUCACAGACUUCUUAAGAAGUAUAAUUGUAAGGAUAAAAUUUUUCUUCUGAUUCUGUUGAAAAUAGUUUGUUUUGAGACAGAAUCUUACUCUGUCACCCAGGCUGGAGUGCUGUGGCAUGAUCUCAGCUCACUGCAGCCUCUACAUCCAGGGCUCAGCUUAUCCUCCCACCUCAGUCUCAUGAGUAGCUGGGACCACAGGCACAUGCCACCACUCCUGGGUAAUUCUUUUUGGUAUAUUGGGAUUUUGCCAUAUUGCCUCGGAUGGUCUCAAACUCCUGAGCUCAAGUAAUUUUUUUUUUUAAGCUGGUGAUGGUCCACAACUUGUGAUACCUAAGUUUAUGUAUAUGUCAGUAAUAUAUACAAACAACAUACAAUGUUUAUUUCCUAUAUAUUUUAUUCUGUGUUAAGUUUUUUAGAGGUAACUUUGUCUACUCAGCAAGUAGAAUGUUACACAGCAAGUAAAGUGAUUGUUGUUUUGUUUUGUUUAGUCUUGCAUUGUUUCUAUAAUCCUAAUUAAGGAUAAUAAUCACUUCCUUUCCAGAGAUUAUACCAAUCCUUUUUUUUCUGCUUUCCAUUUUCCCCUUUCCUUCUUUUUCUUUUAAAACAUACACAAGUGUCAUACAUGAAAACACUUUAGUUAGGCGCGGUGGCUCACGCCUGUAAUCCCAGCACUUUGGGAGGCCGAGGUGGGUGGAUCACAAGGUCAAGAGAUCGAGACCAUCCUGGUCAACAUGGUGAAACCCCAUCUCUACUAAAAAUACAAAAAAUUAGCUGGGUAUGGUGGUGCGUGCCUGUAAUCCCAGCUACUCAGGAGGCUGAGGCAGGAGAAUUGCCUGAACCCAGGAGGAGGAAGUUGCGGUGAGCUGAGAUCACGCCAUUGUACUCCAGCCUGGGUAACAAGAGCGAAACUCCAUCUCAAAAAAAAAAAAAGAAAGAAAGAAAGAAAGAAAGAAAGAAAAGAAAACACUUUAAUUGCAAAAAUUUCCAAAAAUAGAAAUAUAGGAGGCUGGGCUCAGUGGCUCAUGCCUGUAAUCCCAGCACUUUGGGAGGCUGAGGCAGGUGGAUCUCCUUGAACCCAAGAGUUUGAGACCAGCCUGGGCAACAUAGCAAAACCCCAUCUCUAUAAAAAAUAUAAAAAAUAGCCAAGUGUGAUGGUGCACCUGUAGUCUCAGCUACUCAGGAGGCUAGGGUAGGAGGAUGGCUUGAGCCUGAGACAGAGGUUGCAGUGAGCCGAGACUGUGCCGCUGCAUUUCAGCCUGAGUGACAGAGCCAGACCCUGUCUCAAAAAAAGAAAAAUUGCCUGGAUUGGUGGCCUGUACCUAUAGUCCCAGCUACUUGAGAGGCUGAGGUGGGAGGAUCGUCUGAGUCCAGGGAGGUUAAAGCUGCAGUGAGCCAUGAUCCUGUCACUGCACUACAGCCAAGGUGACAUAGUGAGACCCUGUCUCAAACCAAAAAAAAAAAAAGAGAAAUAUAAUAAAAAGCAAAGUGUUACCUUUUUCCUUUCCUCUUCUAUCUUAUUCUCCUCUCCAGAAAUCGUUACUUUGAUGUUUCAUUCAAAAUCUUUUUCUGUAUAUUUACAUACUAAUUUCUAUAUAAAGAAACAUAUGGUUUGCAGGGGGAUUUUCCCCCUUUCAUAUAAGUGGGGUCAUACUGUCUAUAUUUUUAGCAUCUUGCAUUUUUUGUUUUUUUGAGAUGGAGUUUUACUCUUGUUGCCCAGGCUGUAAUACAAUGACGCGAUCUCAGCUCACUGCAACCUCUGCCUCCUGGGUUCAAGCUAUUCUCCUGCCUCAGCCUGCCGAAUAGCUGGGAUUACAGGCGUGUGCUACCACACCUGGCUAAUUUUUAUAUUUUUAGUAGAGAUGGGGUUUCACCAUGUUAGACAGUCUGGUCUCACUCCUGACCUCAAGUGAUCCACCCGCCUUGGCCUCCCAAAGUGCUGGGAUUAUAGGCGUGAGCCAUAGGGCCUGGCAUGCAUUGUUUUUCAGUUAAUGAAAUGUAGAGGUCUUUCUGUAGCAGUACUACUAUUUAACUAAAAUAACCACUUCAUAAUGUUCCACAGAGGUUUACUUACCCAUACUGCACUGAUGGACAAUUAAGGUUUUCUGUUUAUCAUCAAAAUUCUCUGAUAUUCUCCUCUCCUAUUUUUUCUCUUUUUCUGUUUUACUCUGUUCUUUUUGAGAUUUCCUCAACUUUCUUCUCUUAAGAUUUUCAUUUUUUGUUAUUACAUUUACAAUUUAUAAAAGUUUUUCUACUCACGCACUUUUUCUAUUCCAGCACUUUGGGAGGCCAAGGCAGGUGGAUUACGAGGUCAGGAGUUCAAGACCAGCCGGACCAAUAUGGUGAAAUUCUGUCUCUACUAAAAAAAAAAGUACAAAAAUUAGCCAGGUGUGGCAGUGUGCACUUGUAGUCCCAGCUACUUGGGAGGCUGAGGCAGGAGAAUCACUUGAACCCAGGAGGCAGAGGUUGAAGUGAGCCGAGAUCGUGCCAUUGAACUCUAGCCUAGGCAACAGAGAGAGACUUUUUGUGUGCUGAAUGUUUUUUUUUUCUUAUUUUGUUUGUUACAGGUAUCUCUUGGAAAUAAUUUUUUUCCCUAAUGUUUUUUUCUGCUUGCAUACUUCCUUUCUACCAGAUUGCUUUCUUUUCUUUUGUUAAUUUUGGUCUCUAUAUUCCAAAUACAGGCUUUCUUUAGGUAUCUAGUAAUUCUUAGCUGUCUGUUCUUAAGUAAGGAUAGGUUAAUAAAAGCCAAUUGGGAAGCCUAAGGACAUGGAUGGGACUUGUAGAUUUUGAGUUUUACUGUAGGAUGACCUGGUUAGAACAUUUGUUAGGUAACCUUCUGGCUUCAACCCAGUAGAGAGGAAGAAGAGGGCUUCUGAUCCUAGAAUUCAGCAUUCACCUGUGCAUAGGGUCACUUAGUCUCCUUGUUAUUCAGAAUAAUACCUGUGUCCUCAACUGUACCUGGUGUCUUCUAAUCAAGGGAUGUCAUUUUAUCCUCUCCAGGGAAUAAGGUGCAAACCUCUGACAUGAUUGAUUUGUUAGGGAGAGAAGGUCACCUGGAGAUGUGGAAUGGAGGAAGGAAAUCUAAGGAUCUAACAGCUUCUUAAAUGUCUUUCAUCCAAUUUUUCUUAUUUUAUCCAUUCCACUCCCCACUUACCCCUAGUUCUACAGGUCGAUAAUCUUGCCAAUUCUUAUGCCUUUAGAAGAUUCUGUGGUAUAUAAUGCUUUCCUCACUGCCAGUUUAAGACUUGGCUCACUCAGCUUUCCUCACUGCCAGUUUAGGACUUGGCUCUCUCUGGUCUGCUAAGUCAGUUACCACUCUGUCAUCUACUUUCUGAUUUAUAAAAAUCUGUUGCUUUUUUUCUUCUUCUCUUUUCCUCGUUACCCUUUGGAUUAUGUAUCUUAAGAUUUGCCAUAAUUUUUGUUUUAGUAGAGUUUCUGAAAGGAGUAUAUUGAAUAUACAUAUUAAAUCUGCCCUCUUACCCUGUGAGUCUCUUAUGUUAUUUCUUUGAUAGAGAGGCUGCAGUUCAUAAUAGUUGAGACUGUGAGUUAUAGCACCAGACUCAAUCAGAGUUUGAACUCUGAUUCUGCCACUUACUAGCCAUUAGCCAUUACCUCUACAUUCCUAUUUUCCUCAUCCGUAACAUGGGGGAUAAUACCUACUUUGUAAGGUGACCAAAUAACUAAAAUUAACUUAUGUAAAGGACUUAGAGCAAUGCCUUGCACAUAGUAUACCCUUAAUAAAUAUUCAUUAUUAAUAUUUUAUUUCCUCUCUUUUCUCUGUCUUUCCUGGAACUCCUGCUAGUAAAAUAUUAACCUCCUUAGAUUAAUCCUUGAAGUAUCCUAUUUUUCUUUCAUACUUUUAAUCUUACGUGUAGUUAUACUUUCCUGGGGAUUAUUGUAACCUCUGUUUAAUGUCUCAUUUUAACAAUCUUAUUUUAAAUAUCAAAUAGCUCUUUUAACAUCUGAUUUUAAUCUUUCAUGUUAAGGAAUUUACUCACAUGUUCAAUGAUGACCUUUGGUAGUUUGUACAUAUUUAUUUUAAAUUUAUUAAAAGCUCUUCAGGAAUAAAACUAAUUGUGGAGUAAGUAAGAAAUAAGCCUUACUUUUGGGUGUUAGGAUGGACAUAAUUAUUAUGAAGAGGACCUUUCUCUCAGAUUGUGCAGUGCCUCCAAAAAGACUUACAGUUUCUCUUCUGGGCAAUAAAGUACAUGUGUUUCAGGUCACUGGUAGGGUAGAGUGGGAGACUGGGUAAAGGAAUUAAGUCCCACCCUUUGGUAUUUCAAGAAAUCCCUUAUUUUUCUAUUUAUCUGUCCUACCUCUGCUCUCUAUUCUGCCUAGUGUCCUCAAGUCUGGAACACCCCUCUUCAAUUUCUCUAGAGGUCAAACUGUCAUUCCCCCACCAAGUUUGGGGUGUAUGCACUUAGCCACUGGCAUUCUAUGCAUGGGAACAGGGAGGAGAAUCAACUGUUCACAUAUACAGACUCUUAUCCUGGGUUUUCACUUUGUGCUUCCUCUUUACCCACUUGGUACUUCCAAGGUCAGAGCUUUCCCAGAUUCUUUGUGGGUAAAUUGACUUCUCACUAUUGUCCCCCUUUGCAAUUUCCUGAGGUUAUAGCUUCUUCCACUGUAAUAAAUGAGAUACCACUCCUCGAUUUGCUCUCCCUUUUCUAAAAAUGUGUUAUCCACUGUAAAAAAUACCAUGUAUUCUCUUGUGUUUGAUUGUCCUUGAGGAAUUAAACCUUUUAAAUUAUGUUGCCAUCAUUUUAUUAUGGGAGCAGAGAAAUACAUAUGCUUGAUCUUCCUUUCCUUUUUGACAGAAGUCAUCAGAUAAAUGUUAUUUUAAAAUAUUUUAUCAUUGCAUUUAACUAUACUAUUUUUUCUUUUUGAGAUGCAAUAUCGUGCUUAUUGCCUAGGCUGGAGUGCAGUGGCACAAUCUCGGCUCAUCACAACCUCCACCUCCUGGGUUCAAGUGAUUCUCCUGCCUUGGCCUCCUGAGUAGCUGGGAUUACAGGUGCCUGCUACCAUGCCUGGCUAAUUUUUUAUAUUUUUAGUAGAGACAGGGUUUCACAAUGUUGGUCAGGCUAAUCUCGAACUCCUGACCUCAGGCGAUCCACCUGCCUCUGCCUCCCAAAGUGCUGGGAUUACAGGCAUGAGCCACCACACCCAGCCUUAACUACACAGUAAUUUUUAUAAUGAGUGGCUGGCAUUCCCUAAUACACCUGGAAAAAGUAGGUCAGAUUUCUUCAUAUAGAUGUAUGGCUGCCAUGACCACACCCUCCUCUUUGUAACAAGCAAGUGGUAAUGAACAAACUCAGGUCAUAGAAUCCAAUGGAAAGAGUUUGAAUUCCCACAGCCAGGCCAGGUUCCUCUACCUAUGCUUAAUGUACUGGAGCUUGACUUUCCUUGUCUCUGCUAGAAACAGACUUCACUCAGCCAUAAUUCCAUUUUCUUUUUCUUCCCCUUUUCCCUUUGCUAGCUUGAAUUACUUGCAUUAAUUGAGGAUUCCUCUUCUCUGACACACAAGAAAGAUAAGGUCUAUUUGGUACACUCUAAACAUCCAUACAGUGGAAUAUUACUAAGCAAUUAAAAAGAACAAACAAUGUAUGCUUCAAUAUCUAUGAUCUUCAAAAAUACUAUGCUAAGUGAAAGAGCCACAUGCAGAAGAUUACAUACGAAAGGUUCAGAAAGAGCAUAUCUAUGGGGCCGGGCACGGUGGCUCAUGCCUGUAAUCCCAGCACUUUGGGAGGCCGAGGCAGGUGGAUCACGAGAUCAAGAGAUCAAGACCAUCCUGGCCAACAUGGUGAAACCCCAUCUCUACUAAAAAUACAAAAAAUUAGCCAGGCAUCGUGGCACAUGCCUGUGGUCCCUACUCAGGAGGCUGAGGUGGAAGAAUCACUUGAACCCAGGAGGCGGAGGUUACAGUGAGCCAGGAUUGUGCCACUGCACUCCAGCCUGGUGACAGAGCAAGACUCUGUCUCAAAAAAAAAAAAAAAAAAAAAAAAAAAAGCAUAUCUAUGGAGACAGAAAGCAAGUUAGUUGCCUGAGGCUAAAAAUGUGACCACCACAUAUAUAAAAUUCUGUGCAUCCUAGCUAGCAAAUUUAAACAAAAUUCCUAUAGCUUUUAAUUUAUGGAGAUUAGCUUUGUUGACCUCAUAAGUGAGACCUUCUUUUAAAGAUAAUUACUGUAUUUGAAUUUGUUUCAUUCAUUAACUCACCAAAUCUUUGUGAGUACCUUUUAUAUGCUAGGUACUGUUUCUAGGAUUACAACAGUGAACAAAAACCAAGAAGACUUCUCUUUUUGAGGAAUGAGGUGGAGGUGCAUAGGAGUUUGCUGUUUUUUAAUAAGAUAAUCAGGGAAAGGCUCUCUGGUAAGGUUAAGUAGAGAUCUGAUUUUUAUUCUUAAAAGUAGAGAUCUGAAAUAAGUGAAAGCAUGAAUGAUGUAGCUAUCUAGGUGAAAAAUUUUUGAGGCAGGGGAAUCAGUAAGUAUAGAGACAGGUAAGAGAAUGCUCAGCAGGUUUGAGGAAUGGCAGAGAGAUUUGUAUGACUUGAAGCAAAAGUGAAAGAAUAGUGUUAGGGAACAAAAUCAGAGGUUUUACAUUGAGUAGGGUCUUGUAAGCCAUGGUCAGGAUUUUGAAUUUUUCCCUGAAUGAGAUGGGAAGGCAAGAGAAGGUUUGAGCAGAGGAAGGACAUGAUCUGAUCUGCAUUUUUAAUGGAUCACUCUGGGUUCUGUAUGAGGAAAGAAGGUAGAAAAGGGGAAAUAAUUGGUAGUAGUUAGUUGUCCAGGUGAGAAAUGAUGUUUAGAGCAGGAAGUAGUCUUGGAAGCAGUCAUAGUGGUCAGGUUCUGGAUAUAUUUUGAGAGAAGAAACAAUAGGAUUUGUUUACAUAGUGUAUGAGAAGAGAAGAAUCAAGGAAGGAUAAAAGAUUUUGACUUGAGCAACUGGAAGAAUGGAAUUGCCACUUACUAAGAUGGAGAAGAACAAGCUUAAAGGGAAAAAUCAAGAGAUUGGUUUUAGAUGCUUAAGAUUGUGGUGGCUAUUCAAGAGGAAAUAUUGAGCAUGUAUGACUGGAUAUAAGAACCUGAAGUUCAGAAGAGAGGUCUGACUAUAAGAUACAAAUUUAAGCAUUGGCUAUAAGUAAAUGGUAUCCAUUGAACUGGCUUUACAAUUAUGCACUAUACAUACAAUGAAAACUUCUCUUUUUAUUUUUUUCUUGUGUUAUGGAAUAUUGAUGUCUUGUUCUCUUUGGGACUCUUCUCUUUAAAACAAUGAUUUUUACCCUCAUUUAUUUCCUAUGUUUUAAAAUAGAAUUUGAAAUCAGCAAAAAACUUUUGGCAUUGCCAACCUCAUCAGUUUCUGAUAGUUAUCUUCCAAAACUACAAAUGGAUAUUUAAAAUGCAUAAUAUGUAGCUCUUUUUUUUAAUUUUUAAUUUUUAUUGUUUGUUUGUUUGUUUUAUUUAUUUAUUGUUUUUGAGAUGGAGUUUCGCUCUUGUUACCCAGGCUGGAGUGCAAUGAGGCGAUCUCAGCUCACCGCAACCUCCGCCUCCUGGGUUCAGGCAAUUCUCCUGCCUCAGCCUCCUGAGUAGCUGGGAUUACAGGCAUGCACCACCAUGCCCGGCUAAUUUUUUGUAUUUUUAGUAGAGAUGGGGUUUCACCAUAUUGACCAGGAUGGUCUCGAUCUCUUGACCUCGUGAUCCACCCGCCUCGGCCUCCCAAAGUGCUGGGAUUACAGGCUUGAGCCACCGCGCCCAGCUAUUUAUUUUUUUAAAGACAGGGUUUCAACAUGUUGAUCAGGCUGGUCUUGAACUCCUGACCUCAGGUGAUUCACCCGCCUUGGCCUCCCCCAAAGUGCUUAAAUUACAGGUGUGAGCCACUGCGCCUGGCCUAGCUCUUAAUUAUUAGAUAGUUGAAUGUCAUUUAAGAGGUACAGACCAUUCAGCAAGAGAUAGGAAAAGUGUCAUUAUGAAUUUAAAAUUUAACAUUUUAAACAGGUAUGGAUUUAUAACAUCAUUCUCAAUCAUGACUUCAGGGUCUAUGUGUUCUUUUAAGUUCAUUUCUUUUUUUCAUUUUCUCUAUUUUAAUGUAAAGGAAAUGCGAAAUUUUGAAUUAUAUUUUUCAAAGUUAUUAGAAUAAUUAUAAUGGAAGUGUUAAUGUUAAAAAGUCUUUAUCAAGACCUAAUAUUAAAUUGUAUAACUUGCUUAUUCUACUUUUCUAUGAAGAUUAACCUUAUACCAACUUAGCUGCUUAAGGAUAUUACCUGCGUCUUUUUCAUUAUAAUAAGCAAAUGUGUGUGUGGGAGUUUAUAUGGUAUUUGCUUAUUGGAAUCAUUUUUGGAAAAUGAUGGUUCAAUUCUGUUCAUUGAUGAGGAAACCUUUUUAAAAAUAAUUUUAGAUUUUUUUCUACUGCAGUUUUUACUAUACUGCUUUUGCCACUAUUCGCAAUUAUACUUAGUAGAAAUGCUCAAUUGGUAAAAUUAUGCCAUAUCUAGUUCUGUAAAUUUCUACCUUACUCUUAUGUGGUUGCAAAUAUAUAGUUAUCUUUAUGUGAGAUGUUACUGCCCUUACUAGAAACCUCAAAAUACCUCAUAAUACUAUGCUUGUUCUUGAAGUGAUGGUUUUAAAAGCUAUGCGUAAGAAACUGUCAGUUAUCUUCAGUAUAGUUGAUUAUUCAUUACUUAUUCAGGAUGAGGCAAUAUGCUAUAUAUAUCUAAUCAAAGUAAUCAGUGGUUCCUAUAAAUAAAUUGUAUUCAAAGAAACAUUUGUUAAUUAGUAAAUAAACACACAUACAGUUGCUUCUCAAUUUACAGUAGUUAGGUUCUGUAAAGUUAUUACAAACACUGAAUCAGUGAAUAUAGAAGCAUUGCUCCUAGUAAGAGUUAAGGUUGUUUAACAUGACUAUGUUUUUCAUAAGGCACCUCAUAAUCUUCUUAUGCAUUAGAAUACUAGGUAACAUAUCAGCAUUAUGCAUAGGGACCAUUGUAAACAUCAAAAUUACUAGCACAAAGCAUAAAAAUGUGAAAAACAGCAUGAAGGAGAGUGAGAAAAGGACACCCUGAGACCUGAAAUAAAAAGACAGAACAAACAUCACUUUGUUUGACCUGAGCUGGGAGUGUGUGCUUCAGGUAAAUCAAAUUUUUUGCCACUUUGUACGUGUCCAUAAAUGACUGUGAAAGUAUUGACUUUGGGGUUACAAAUAAAUUUUAGUGACUAUGGAUUUGCAAAUAUAGACCUUGCACAUAAUGAGGAUCAACUGUAUUUAUGUGUGCAUAUAAACAUACACACAUAUACAUACAUGACUUUUUUUUCAUUCCUGCCUGGAAUGCAUUUUAAUCUCUUUUCUGUCUGUUCUAUCUUUUUAACAGAAUACAUCUGUAUUCUAACUAUUCAGCUCCCUGCUUAGAUAUGUUAUCCUAUCUCAGAAACUGUUUCCAGCUCUCUUUUUUUUUUUUUUUUUUUUUUUUUUGAGACGGAGUUUUGCUGUUGUUACCCAGGCUGGAGUGCAAUGGCACGAUCUCGGCUCACUGCAACCUCUGCCUCCUGGGUUCAAGCAAUUCUUCUGCCUCAGCCUCCCGAGUAGCUGGGACUACAGGCGCUCACCACCAUGCCCAGCUAAUUUUUGUAUUUUUAGUAGAGACGGGGUUUUACCAUGUUGCCCAGGAUGGUCUCAAUCUCUUGACCUCAUGAUCCACCCGCCUCGGCCUCCCAAAGUGCUGGGAUUAUAGGCGUGAGACACCGCGCCCAUCCUCCAGCUCUCUUAAAUAGUCAUUGAGUAUGAUCUCAUAUCCCUGGGUACAUGUCUUUUACAAUAUUUUUCACAUUUUGUGUUAAUUCUUUGCCUAGAUUAUUAAGACUGUGAGCUCCAUAACGACAGGGACUUUUCUCAUUUACCUCUGUAUCCUUAGUGAUCAACACAGGGACUAACACAUAGUUGAAAUUAAAUUUUAAAAAAAAAUUUUUUUUUGAGAUGGAGUUUCACUUUUGUUGCCCAGCCUGGAGUGCAGUGGGUAGGCUUCUGUAAAAUUAACAGACAGGGGAAAACCCUGUAAAGUGGUUGGUUGCAGAAGUUUAGUAGGUAAGGGCUAAAAUUCGUUGAUAAAGCAGUGACAGCAUGUGAGAGGAUUGACUCCAAUUUUGAAAGUUCAAUUGUGGGCCAAAUUUUGUCAACCAGCACUGUAUGCUACAGAGAAAUCUUUUAUGAGGAAGAGUCAAUAGGUGUGGCAAACUUCAUUGUUGUCUGUCUCUUUUUUUUUUUUUUCUUGAGGCGGAGUCUUCACUCUGUCCCCCAGGCUAGAGUACAGUGGUGCAAUCUCAGCUCACUGCAGCCUCCACCUUCCAGGUUCAAGCGGUUCUCUCUUGCUUUAGCCUAGUGAGUAGCUGGGACUCCUGACCUCAUGAUUCACCUGCCUCAGCCUCCCAAAGUGCUGGGAUUACAGGUGUGAGCCACCCCACCUGGCCCGUUGUCUCAUUUUAAGAAAUUAUUACAGUCACUGCAACCUUCAGCAAUCACCACCUUGAUCAGUAAGCAGCCAUCAAUUUGGAAGCAAGACCUUCCACCAGCAAAAAGCUUAUCACACUCUGAAGAUUGUGAGCAUUUUUUAGCAAUAAAAUACUUUUAAAUUAAGGUAUGUGCAAUUUUUUUGACAUCAUGCUGUUGUACACUUAAUAGACUAUAGUAUAAUGUAAACAUAACUUUUAUAUGCCCUGGGAAACCAUAAUGUUUGUACAACUCACUUUGUUGUAAUAUUUUUAUUUUGCAAUAAAGCAAUAUUUGUUUUAUUGUGGUAAUCUGGAGCUGAACCCACAGUAGCUUUGAGGUAUGCCUGUACUAUAGUUUCUUUAACCUGUUUCCUUAUUGAUGUUGUUUUGUUCCAGUUUGGGGCUAUUACAAACAACGUGGCAAUGAAUAUUCUUGUUAAUGUCUUCUUAUGCACAUAUGUAAAUUUUCUCUAGUUAUGCUUGGGAGUGGAUUGCUGAAUCUAGGUUAUGCUCAUCUUGAACUUUAUUCUAUAGGGCAUGUAGUGUGCCAGAUAUUAUUCUAAGUACCAAAUAUAAAUACGUACUUCACAACUAUCCUGUGAGAUAAAUAUUAUUUUCCCUGUUUUACAGAUUGGGAAACUAAGACACAGAGAGAUAAGGUGACCUGCCCAAAUCACAUAGCUAGUAUGUAGCAGAUCCAAGCAAUUUGAUUCCAAAAUCCAGGCUUUUACCACCCCAUCAUGCCACAGCAUGCUUGACAUUUUGGGAAUGAAUGCAUGUAUUUUUCUGCUGUAUGCUUAUCUAAUCUCUUCAAAUCUUGGUUCUUUUUCAAAGUUUGAUGUUGUUUAAUCAAGGGGGAAAAUAUUCACUAGAAAUAUCAUCACCAUAAAAAAUUGUCAAUGUGAUCAACAUGAGCCACUGCCUUGACUUUGAUCAAUAGUCAGGAAACUAAACUAUCAAUGUUCUUCCCCUUUUGAACAAAUUACAUUGCAUUUUUUGAUUACAUAACUACUGAGGUGUUCUAUUAAAAAAUAAAAAAUGGGCUGGGUGCAGUGGCUCAGGCCUGUAAUCCCAGCACUUUAGGAGGCCAAGGCAGGUGGAUCACUUGAGAUCAGGAGUUUGAGACCAGCCUGGCAAACAUGGUGAAACCUCAUGUCUACUAAAAAUACAAAAACUAGCUGGCCAUGGUGGCAUGCGCCUGUAGUUUCUACUACUCAGGAGGCUGAGACAGGAGAAUCACUUUAAUCCAGGAGGCAGAGGUUGCAAUGAGCUAAGAUGGCCCCACUGCACUCCAGCCUGGACAACAGAGUGAGACUCUAUUUCAAAAAAUAAUAAUAAAGAUAGAAUAUGAAAAAUUAAAAUAUAAUUAUAACAGCUAAAAAUUUCUGUUCUGUAAUGUAGCUUAAUAUUUCAGACUACUGAUUGUAUUAUACAUUAGUAAUAAAGAUUAAAAGAAUGUUCUAAAUUAUGGAAAGUGAGGAAAAGGAGAAGAAAUGAGAAAAUAAUAGAUAUGUAUAUAGAGUUAUAGAAGUAGCUCUAUGUCUUCAUAGUUUAAUGCUGGUUGGAAAUUUCAGACUGUUAUGAGGGUGUAAGAAUUUUUUUUCAUUCUUACUGCUAAGAUAGGGUUGCAGUCAAUCUAAAGUUUGUUAUAGAUCUUUGUGGGAGAAAAAAAGGAAGAUAAAUGUCUGGGUUUUUUUUUCCUUUAUAAGUUCGUCAGCUAAACCAGCUAUGCUGCAUUGUAUGAGUGGAUUUAGGAUGCUAGGGAUCCUUCACCAAUUUUUUUUUAGAAUAAAAUAUGCCCAUUAAGUAUCAUUUAUUUAAUCUAGCGUGUGGGAUGUGAAGCAUUUCCCACAGAAGUCAUUUGUCUCUGUCUAUGGAUAGGCCUUCCUAGGGAACAGUUCAUGAGAUUGCUUUUUCUCCUGACUCCUUUAAUGCUUUGUUUGCAGUUCCUGAAUCCAAAUUAUAAAUUUAUCUUGCAGUAUUAUACUUCUGAUGAUGAACUUACUGACAGUAACAAUCAACUGCCAUCAUUGUUUUGCUUAAAAAAAAAACUUAAUCCUGCCGGGCACAGUGGCUCACACCUGUAAUCCCAGCACUUUGGGAGGCCAAGGUGGACAGAUCACGAGGUCAGGAGUUCAAGAUCAUCCUGUUCAACGUGGUGAAACCCUGUCUCUACUAAAAAUACAAAAAUUAGCCAGGCGUAGUGGUAUGCACCUGUAGUCCCAUCUACUCAGGAGGCUGAGGCAGGAGAAUCACUUGAACCUGGGAGGCAAAGGCUUCAGUGAGCCGAGACUGCACCACUGCACUCUAGCCUGGGUGACAGAGCAAGACUCUUUCUCAAAAUAAAAGGAAAACUUAGUCUUUCAAAAUACCAACAUUUUAAUCUUUCAAAUAUAGGCAUUGUGAAGCAAAAAAUAAUAAAUAAUGAACCAUGGAAAAUAUUUAUUAAAGUAUAUUAGAAACAUAUAGAUCCAUAUAGUCAUGUUUAGUUGGAUAACAUCACAAAUUUAUAUGUGCAAGAAAUAUAAAAUUAUUUUAUUUUCUAUAAAUUUUUCUUUUUGAGACAGAGUCUCACUCUGUUGCCAGGCAACCUCCGCCUCUUAGGUUCAAGCAGUUCUCCUGCUUCAGCCUCCCAAGUAGCUGGAACUACAGGUGCAUGCCACCACGCCCAACUAAUUUUUGUAUUUUUUAGUAAAGACCGGGUUUCACCAUGUUGGCCAGGAUGUUCUCGAUCUUCUGACCUCGUGAUCUGCCCGCCUCAGCCUCCCAAAGUGCUGGGAUUACAGAUGUGAGCCACCACACCCGGCCUAUUUCCUAUAAAUUAAAUUAAAACUGAUUUUGAAUUGCCCAACCUAGUAAAAUAAAGAUUUAUAUCAUUCAUUAUGGGAACACAUAGAAAAGAAUAUGUCUUUCUUCCUUUCCUUCCUUGGUCCUCUCCAAUCCAAGAGUAGCAGGAAAACCUAAGAAUCUUUUCGGAAAAAAGAAAACAAGUAGGAGAUGGGCCGACUUGUCUGCAGUUAUCACCAUCAUGGACUGAUAACCCUUAUUGAAAAAGUUCAUGCUUCAAGUCUAAUGACAUUACUGCUUUCUGGUCAAGCUUGGGCAUGGGAAACUCUGCUGAUUAUGAGUCCCUAGUAACUACAGUCCAGGCUCCCAAGAUACUCCAUGUAGCCAUCUUCUUUGAGGUUUUGUCAUUUCCUUGGGGAACAGCCAGGAAGUAGUGUUCAGGUCACAACUAUCCCUGGUGUUGCUACACAUUUUUCCAAUUUGGACAAGUUGGGUUUAGCAGGUUAUUCCCCUGUCUCCCUUACAAUUCUCAAAGCUUUGCCUUUAUCUUAAGCUUCCAGAAAAUAAAAGUUCAAAGGCAGAUUAUCUACAAAUAACUUCUGCUUUACACUCCGUAACUCACAUCUUCUGUAAAUAAUGGAACCUGAAGACCUGGUUACCUGUUUAGAAUGAGGAAAGGGGAAAAGAAGAAGAGAACAAAUGAAAAUUAAAAUCUUUUUUUUUUUUUGAGACGGAGUUUCUCUCUUGUUACCCAGGCUGGAGUGAUCUUGGCUCACUGCAACCUCUCCCUCCUGGGUUCAGGCAAUUCUCCUGCCUUAGCCUCCUGAGUAGCUGGGAUUACAGGCACGUGCCACCAUGCCCAGCUAAUUUUUUUUUGUAUUUUUAGUAGAGACGGGGUUUCACCAUGUUGACCAGGAUGGUCUCGAUCUGUUGACCUCGUGAUCCACCCGCCUCAGCCUCCCAAAGUGCUGGGAUUACAGGCUUGAGCCACUGCGCCCGGCCGAAAAUUAAAAUCUUAAUAAAUUGUCCUGCCACACUGACAUGCACACCCACAGAUAUAGCAUACCACUUUUCUGCCUAGUCCUGGCUUCUGGGUUGUUCAGUUUUUAUUGAGCACUAGUAGGAAGAGGGCCUAGAGUAUUAUAGAUUAACCUAUAUUUAUGAAUAAUUGAGAACUGACUAAUAAAAUGGGCAACUUCGAUAUUAUGUUUACUUGUUAAAAUCAGAGUAAAGUUUUGUUACCUAGGGUUCUCUCCUCUUCCCUUGCCAAUUAUUAGAAAAGUAAUCUAAUGUUUUCCGAAUAAAUAUAUCAUUGUGGAGGACUUUCAAUAGAAACUAAAGGAUAGCAAAGUAGCACAGAUCUAUAAUGAGUCAUAGAAACCAGAUCUGAUAGUAUUAUGACUUUUACUUGAAUUUGAAAUAACUUUAAUAACAGCCAAAAAUCAUUAUUGAGGUCUAUACUAUUCUGAAAGCUGAGAUAGAGAAGAAAGGUGAAUAUAUGUCCUUACAAGGAUCUUGCAGAUAGUGAAAAAUAUGUGAAUAAGUUCAUAAUUAUGACAUAAAAAAUUUAAAAGAUGCCAUGAAAGCAUAGAAGUGGAAGAAAAGAAGUUGAUGAAGGCUGCUGAAGGAGGUAAGGUUUUAACUGAGUUUUAGGGCCAAGUAAGGGUUAUUGACUAAAUGAAGAGAAGUUCAGGCUGAGGAAAUGGCAUCAAUGAAGUUGUAUUAAUGUGAAACAACAGGGCGGAGCGCAGUGGCUCAAGCCUGUAAUCCCAGCACUUUGGGAGGCUGAGGCGGGUGAAUCACAAGGUCAAGAGAUCGAGACCAUCCUGGUCAACAUGGUGAAACCCCUUCUCUACUAAAAAUACAAAAAAUUAGCUGGGCACGGUGGCACGUGACUGUAAUCCCAGCUACUCAGGAGGCUGAGGCAGGAGAAUUGCCUGAACCCAGGAGGCUGAGGUUGCAGUGAGCCAAGAUUGCGCCAUUGCACUCCAGCCUGGGUAACAAGAGGGAAACUCCGCCUCAAAAAAAAAAAAAAAAUGAAACAACAUAACACACAGUCAUGUCUACCUCUACUAUGUAAAUAGUUGCAUAUAGCUGGAGUAAAGCGUAUCUAGGAGGAAUGGUGUGAAGGCAGAGACAGCAUGGGUCAGAUAUGCUAAAUUAAGCCUAUCUUAAGUGUCUCUUGCCACUGAAACCUUGGUGAAAUAAAAUCUGAAAAAAACUUACUAUAAUUCCUCCCUUUACUAUUUUGUUAAGUUUAAAGUUUAUGUUACCUCUUACAUGGUUAAUUGUAAGUUCUUAAUAGUGCUGUCCCAUGGAGAAAAUAUCUCUUAGCACCACGAUGAUAUCCGAAUAGGUGAUCCUGACAUUUUAUCUUACUAAUUAUCUAUUACUUUUACUAUACAUAAUUCAGUUCUAUUGGGCUACUACUGGCAAGUGCGUUAUUAAAUAAUAAAGUAAUGUUACUCAAUUGAAUGAAAUACAUUGAGAGAAAAGUGAUGAAAAGGAGUUAAAAGAAUGAUUUUUAUUGAAAUAAAGAGCAAGGUCAAUUAUAAACCUACACCAUGUGUAUAGAAAAAAAACCUAUUUGGCCAGGCACAGUGGCUCAUGCCUGUAAUCCCAGCACUUUGGGAGGCCGAAGCAAGUGGAUCAUGAGGUCAGGAGUUUGAGACCAGCCUGGCCAACAUGGUGAAACCCUGUCUCUAUUAAAAAUACAAAAAUUGAAAAAGGUCCCGCAGAGCUGAGCAGUCAAGAUGUGUGACUUCACCGAAGACCAGACUGCAGAGUUCAAGGAGGCCUUCCAGCUGUUUGACCGAAAAGGUGAUGGCAAGAUCCUGUACAGCCAGUGUGGGGACAUGAUGAGGGCCCUAGACCAGAACCCCACCAACACCGAGGUGCUCAAGGUCCUGGGGAACCCCAAGAGUGAUGAGAUGAAUGUGAAGGUGCUGGACUUUGAGCACUUUCUGCCCAUGCUGCAGACAGCGGCCAAGAACAAGGACCAGGGCACCUAUGAGGAUUAUGUUGAAGGACUCGGGUUUUUGACAAGGAAGGAAAUGGCAUCGUUAUGGGUGCUGAAAUCCAGCAUGUUCUUGUCAUACUGGGUGAGAAGAUGACAGAGGAAGGAGUAGAGAUGCUGGUGGCAGGGCACGAGGACAGCAGUGGUUGUAUCAACUACGAAGAGUUCGUCCACAUGGUGCUGAAUGGCUGAGGACCUUCCCAGUCUCCCCAGAGUUCGUGCCUUUCCCUGUGUGAAUUUUGUAUCUAGCCUGAAGGCGCCCUAGGCUAGCUUGUCUCAGCACCUUUUCCAUCUUGUCGCUCUUGGAUUCACCAUCAGCAUUCACCAAAUAAAACCUGCUCUCUGGGCCAAAAUAAAUAAAUAAAUAAAAAUACAAAAAUUAGCUGGGUGUGGUGGUGCGUGCCUGUAAUCACAGCUUUUCAGGAGGCUGAGGCAGGAGAAUUGCUUGAACCAGAGAGUUUGAGGUUGCAGUGAGCUGAGAUUAUGCCGCUGCACUCCAGCCUGUCGACAGAGCAAAGACUUCAUCUUAAAAAAAACAAAAAACAAAGAACUUUUUUCGUCUACUAUUCUCAGUACUCCACUCCUGAUACCAGAUGUGUAGGGGUUUCUCCCACACAAAGCAAUUUUCUAAUUCUCUGCCAGCACCAAGUGUCCUACAGGGUGUCCUACAAUUCUAUUCUGACACUAACCAGAGUUAGUACAGACCCCACACAUUAGGAAUUCAGUCCCAUAAGACUACCCUCCACUUCUGAUGCAAAUUGCAAAUAGUAGGUCUCCAAGUUGCCCACAAUUUCUGUUCAAUUAGGUUUUCAUGACCCCCUUCUCAGGUUUGAUAAUUUGCUAGAGUAGCUCACAAAACCCAGGGAAACAGUUUACUUACUAUGUUAUCAGUUUAUUCUAAAAUAAUAUAACUCAGGAUCACCCAGUUGGAGUAGAUACAUAGGUCAGAGUAUGAGGGAGUGUUUAACUUUUUCAUACCCUCUCUGGAUGCACCACCCUCUAAGCACCUCCAUAUAUUCAGCAACCUGAAAGCUCUCUGAACCCUGUAUUUCUUUUGUUUUAUGGAGGCUUGCUUAUGUAGGCAUCAUUUAUUAAAUCAUUGGCCAUUAAACCCUUUUUUCCUUCCCAGAGGUCACUGGAGUUGGGUCUAAAAGUUCUAACCCUCUAAUCACAUGGUGGCUUUACCUGCAACCAACCCCCAUCCUGAAGUUAUUCUGGAGCCCCCAGCCACCAGCCAUCUCAAUAGCAUACAAAAAGACACGCUACUUUGGAGACUCUUAAGCGUUUUAGGAGCUAGCUGUGUGCCAGCAAAUGGGCAGAAACCAUAUAUUUAUGAUCACACUAUGAAAGUGAUAAAAUUUAUAUAAACACUUAAGAAUUACAUUGAAUAAUCAGCCGUUCUACCCUAAUCAUGUGUUAAAACUUCUCUGGUUAGCUGUGUCACCUAAAAUGAGUGAUAGAGAGAUCAACUCUACAAAGUAGAAUUUUUUUGCGAAUAGCAGGGGACCACAGUCCAGAAUAUGUGUGCUGUGAUGGAUCAUGGGCAUAUCUGAGGUGUUGCAGCAAAAGGGAGAUUUUUAAAGACAGAAGUCCAUAAAAGCUGCUUUGAAACAAAGUCCAUAGGUCACUGAAGCCCAUUGUAGUAAUUGGCAUUUGUUCAUUGUGGAGACAGUUAUUGCUAGGUAAGUGUCUUUGUGCAGGUAGCUUAUCUGGAAUAUUGCAAUUUUGAGGAAGUUAUUACAGUAAGUCCUAUUGCUGGUCUGUGUGGAGGAAUAUCUUGUGAUAAGUCCUCCUAUAGGCCUUUGUGCAUGAGUGCUUCCCCUUCAUGGCCACCUGACUCCACUGUUAAGUGACUCCAUUUUGGCACUGGCAGCUUUCACAGCUAUCAAGUAUAGUUUUUUUUUUACAGCUUACCCUUUGUAUAUUAGAUAAUACAGCAUUCUACUGCUAAGCAAAUAUCUUGGGUGCUGUAGAAUAUUUUGAAACAACAUAUAAAUACAUUUAGAUAUAUUUAUUGAUGCUAAGGAGAAAUUUUUUAAACAAAACUCAGGAUAAUAGAAAUUGUUUUAUAAUAGAUCUUUCAGUAAGUUUCAGAGUAAAUUUAAAAAUAGACUUCUUUCCUUUUUAAUGGUGUUAGUAGAAAGGGAUCAAGUCAUUGUAGCUUAGCAGAUUAAGUGCCAAACAGAGAGAAAUCAAUUGCAUUCUCUUUACCUUCUUCUUUUUAACAUUGUUUUUAAGGCUGAGCACAGUGGAUCAUGCCUCUAAUCCCAGCACUUUGGGGAGGCCAAGGCAGGUGGAUCACCUGAGGUGAGUUCAAGACCAGCCUGGUCAACAUGGUGAAACCCCGCCUCUUUAAAAUACAAAAAUUAGCCACUCAUGGUGGUGGGCACCUGUAAUCACAGCUACUCUGGAGGCUGAGGCAGGAGAAUUGCUUGAACUUGGGAGGCAGAGGUUUCAGUGAACCAGGAUCAUGCCACUGCACUCCAGCCUGGGUGACAGAGCAGGAUUCUGUCUUUAAAAAAAAAAAAAAGUGUUUAGAGACAGGGUAUCACUAUGUUGCCCAGGCUGAUCUCAAACCUCUGGUCUCAAAUGAUCCUCCUGCUUUUCAGCCUCACAAAGUGCUGGGAGUAACACAGAAAACUCUAAACAGGAAAAGUGAACACACAGGGAAUCUUGCACCAUCUAAUUUAGUGGAUUAGGGAAACUGUGUGGAUAUCCAUCUCUAAUGCUUUGAAAUUAUAUCUACUUUUGUGCCAUCUCCCAGUGGUCUGCAGCUACUCCUUCAUAUUUUCUGCUUCACUUUCUGAUUCUCUGUUGUUUUCUUCUAACUGUUGGAUAUUUUCCCUUAGACCAGGCUGCUUAUUCUAUAGAUAGCUCUAGCAACUAGGCACAGUCAAAUGUCAUGUAAUAAAAAUCAGUUACAACUAGGAAGUAUUUUAAAACGUCAGCAACUGGAAAGCUAAUUUAGUGUUUUUUUUUCCCCCAAGCAGCAGGUGCCGAGUAAGCUAGUUUAAUUUCAAUUAUUUGUCUACCAACAAGGCUACUUAAGUAGCCUCUGUCUCUGUUCAAAGCAAGCUGGACUAAUGUCUUUGGCUUCAUUAAGUUACUCAGUUUUUACAGAUGAUAUACCUACUUUUCUGAUUGCAGUUAGUGGGAAAGUAAGAGAGAUAAUAGGUAUAAUGCUGCUUAACCUAUAUAAAGUAGAGAAUAAUUUAGAUACAGUGAGAAACUAUUAAAAUUCCUAGGGGAUAGGAUAAAGGCUGAUAACUAAUCUAAAUUUUUUAUUUUUCUGAGAUGGAAUCUUGCUCUGUAACCCUGGCUGGAGUGCAGUGGUGCAACUUCAGGCCACUGCAACCUCUGCCUCCUGGGUUCAAGGGAUUCUUCUGCCUCAGCCUCCUGGAUAGCUGGGACUACAAGCCUGCGCUACCAUGCCCAGCUAAUUUUUGUAUUCUUAGUAGAGACAGGGUUUCACCAUGUUGGCCAGGAUGGUCUCUAUCUCCUGACCUCUUGAUCCACCUGCCUUGGCCUCCCAACUUACAGCUAGGAUUAUAGGCAUGAGUCACUGUGCCCACCACCGCCCCCAUCCCCCGUUUUUUUGUUUGUUUGUUUUUGAGAGUCUUUUUUUAUUUUUUUUUGAGAUGUAGUCUUGCUGUGUCGCCAGGCUGGAGUGCAGAGGCGCAAUCUCGGCUCGCUACAACCUCCGCCUCCUGGGUUCAAGCGGUUCUUCCGCCUCAGGCUCCCAAGUAGCUGGGACCACAGGCGCGUGCCACCAUGCCAAGCUAAUUUUUGUAUUUUUAGUAGAGACAGGGUUGUACCAUGUUGGCCAAGGUGGUCUCUAUCUCUUGACCUCGUGAUCCACCCACCUCGGCCUCCCAAAGUGCUGGGAUUAAAGGCAUGAGCCACCACGCCCGGCCUGAGAUAGAGUCUUGCUCUGUUUCCCUGGCUGGAGUGUACUGGCGCAGUCUUGGCUCGCGGCAAUCUCUGCCUCCCAGGUUCAAGUGAUUUUCCUGCCUCAGCUUCCUGAGUAGCUGGGAUUAUAGGUGCGUGCCACCACACCAGGCUACUUUUUGUAUUUUUAAUAGAGAUGGGGUUUCACUAUGUUGGUUAGGCUUGUCUUGAAUGCCUGACCUUGUGAUCCGCCUGCCUUGGUCUCCUAAAGUGCUGGUAUUACAGGUGUGAGCCACCAUACCUGGCCUCAAGCCCACUUUCAAAUAACACUACACCAUUUCAUUGAUAGUGUGAGUACAUUAUAAUAAUAAAAUAAUUCUAACUCCUACUUGCCAUCUCUUGUAUCGUUGUUAUUUAUUUUACCUAUACAUAAACAUAAGCAUAUAGAUAUAUAUGUAUACACAUAAGAUAUAUACAUAUUCAUAAUCAAAUGUAGUGUUGCCAUUAUGGACAAACUGUUAGGUUGAAUCAAUUAGGAAUAAGAAAAAUAGGCCAGGCGUGGUGGCUCAAGCCUGUAAUCCCAGCACUUUGGGAGGAUAAGGUGGGCGGAUCAUGAGCUCAAGAAAUUGAGACUGUCCUGGCCAACAUGGUGAAACCCCGUCUCUACUAAAAAUACAAAAAUUAGCUGGGUGUGGUGGCAUGCGCCUGUAGUCCCAGCUACUCGGGAGGCUGAGGCAGGAGAAUUGCUUGAAUCCAGGAGGCGGAGGUUGUAGUGAGCUGAGAUUGUGCCACUGCACUCCAGCCUGGCACCUGGCGACAGAAUGAGACUCUGUCUCAAGAAAAAAAGAAUAAGAAAAAUAAAAGCUUUAACUUUUAUUAUUACUUAUUCCUUCUUUUGUGCUUUUUUCUUUUUUUAUGUACAUCUCAGUUCUGACUUGUAUCAAUUCCUUCUUUCCAAAGAACUUUUUUUUUGAGACAGAGUUUUGCUCUUGUCGCCUAGGCUGGAGUGCAGUGGGGUGAUCUCAACACACUGCAACCUCUACCUCCUGGGUUCAAGCAAUUCUCCUGCCUCAGCUUCCUGAGUAGCUGGGAUUACAGGUGUCCACCACCACGCCUGGCUAAUUUCGUGUGUACACACACAUAUAUAUUUUUAGUAGAGACAGGGUUUUGCCAUGUUGGGCAGGCUGGUCUCAAACUCCUGACCUCAGGUGAUCCACCCACUUCUGCCUCCCAAAGUGCUGGGGUUACAGGCAUGAGCCACUGCGUCCGGCCCCAAAGAACUUCUUUUAAUAUUUCUUGCAAGGCAGGUCUACUGGCAACAAAUUUCCUCAGUUUUUUUGUUUGUCUGAGAAAGUCUUUAUUUCUCCUUCACUCUUUCCUCCCCUUCCCCCACACCCGACUGAGACAGGUUCCCACUCUGUCAGCCAGGUUGGAAUGCAAUGGCAUGAUUAUAGUUCACCGUAACCUUGAACUCCUGGGCUCAAGCAAUCCUGCCUCAGCCUCCUGAGUAGUUAGGAUUACAGGUACAUGCCGCCACACCUGGAUAUCUUUGUUUCCCUUUUGUAGAGACAGGCUCUUGCUAUGUUGCCUGUCUGGACUUGAAUUCCUGGCCUCCAGCAAUCCUUCCAAAGCACUGGGAUUAUAGGUGUGAGCCACCAUGGCUGACCUCUCCUUCACUUUUGAAGUAAUAUUGCAGGGUACAGAAUUCUAGGUUGGUGGUUUUUUUCUCUCAACAGUGUUUUUUCACUCCAUUCUCUUCUUGCUUGCCUGGUUUCUGAGGAAAACACAGAUACAGUUCUUGUCUUUGCUCCUCUAUAAGUAAGGUGUUUUAGUUUUCUGGCUUCUUUCAAUAGUUUAUUCUUUAUCCUUGAUUUUCUUUAUCUUUUUUCUUUCUGAGAUAGAGUCUCACUCCCUGCACCCGGUUAUCAUUAUCAUUUUAAAUAUUUCUUUUGUUACUUUCUGUCUUUCCUUUUGCCUGGUAUUUAUAUAAUGAGUCGCCUCACAGUUUUUGAAUAUUCUGUUCUUUUUUUUUUUUUUUAAAUGAAUGAGAGGUUCUUAUGUUGCCCAGGCUGGCCUCGAACAUGUAGCCUCACCUCAAGUGCCAGGACAACUGGCAUGAGCCACUGAGGCUCCCUGUUCUGUUUUUUUUGUUUUUAAAGUAUUUGUUUUCUUUGCUUUCCAGUUUUGGAGGUUUCUAUUGUAUAUCCUCAAGCUUAGAAAUUCUUUCCUAAGCCAAGUCUAGGCUACAAAUAAGCCCAUCAAAAGCACUCCUCAUUUCUUUUACAGUAUUUUUUAUCUCUAGGAUUGAUUUUGGUUCGUUCUUAGGGUUUCCACCACUCUGCUUACAUUGCCGACCUCUUUGCAUGUUGUCUAUUUUAUCCAUUAGAGCUUUUAGCAUAUUAAUUAUAGUUGUUUUAAAUUCCUGAUGUGGUAAUCCCAACAUCUCUACCAUAUCUAGUUCUGAUACUUGUCCUGUCUUUUCAAAAUGUGUUUUUUGCUCUUAGUAUGUUUUGUAAUUUUUUCUUAAUAGGGCUUUAGAAAUUCAGUGAUAAGGUGUGUAAUUAGGGGAAGCAUUCUAGAGUCCUAUAAUUAGACUUCAUUCUUUUAGUGAGCCUGUAUCUAUGGAUUAUGAGCUUUACAUAUGGUUUCAGGGUUUGUUUUUUUUUUUUCUUCCCCCUUAGAUGGGACAAGAAGGCUAGAGUGAGCUGCAGAUGGGUAUUGCCCUUCCUCUAGGUCAGUUAAGCUCUGAUAAACCCCAGCAGGUUAGAGUCUGGUUAGCUAGUUUAUCCUGAAGGAAGACCUUGUUAAGAAGAACAGAAUGCUCUGCCACAUUUCAACAUGGUUCCUUUCCCCCUCUUCUUGCCAGAUGCAUGGGAGGAUUUUUCUCUGGUAUUCACUGUGAUGACCUGGUAGAGCUCUUGGAGGUUUAACUCACAAAACUGUGGGGAGCCCCUCUGACUGGGUCUUUCUGGAGUUUCCGACUCUCAGACUUCUACACCUCGCCUCCAGCAGUUUUUCAGUUACAGUUUAGGUUUUCUUACCCUGGACCUGGUUCCUGUGGAAGUUUCUGUUGGAUAUGUUUUAUAAUUCUUUGUAUACAUCUGUCCAAUUUUAGAAGAAGUUGUGACCUCACUUCUCUUACAAAUCUAAGAAGCGUUGUUGGUUUUGCAGUUUGCUUGGCUUUUUACUUGUUGUUAGGUUGGAGUGGACACUUCAAGCUUCUUACAAGUGGAACCAAAGCUGGAAGUCUUCUUCUAUUGUUAAAAUAAUUCUCUUCACAUUUUUUCCCUUUAUUUAAUUAAUUAAUUAAUUAAUUUUUUGAGAGGGAGUUUCGCUCUUGUUACCCAGGCCGGAGUGCAAUGGCACGAUCUCGGCUCACCGCAACCUCCGCCUCCUGGGUUCAGGCAAUUCUCCUCCCUCAGCCUCCUGAGUAGCUGGGAUUACAGGCAUGCGCCACCAUGUCCAGCUAAUUUUUUCUAUUUUUCGUAGAGAUGGGGUUUCACCAUGUUGACCAGGAUGGUCUCGAUCUCUUGACCUCCUGAUCCACCCGCCCUGGCCUCCCAAAGUGCUGGAAUUACAGGUGUGAGCCACCAACCCAGCCUUUUCCCUUUAUUUUAAUUGUAACACAGGAAUUGUAACACGGUAACAAGGUUAAGGGGAUAACACUUAACUUUUUUGUGUGCUACAGAAUAGUGAGGAUCUUUUUUUUUGAGAAGGAGUUUCGCUCUUGUUACCCAGGCUGGAGUGCAAUGGCGCGAUCUCGGCUCACCGCGAUCUCCACCUCCUGGGUUCAAGCAAUUCUCCUGCCUCAGCCUCCUGAGCAGCUGGAAUUACAGGCAUGUGCCACCAUGCCCAGCUAAUUUUUUGGAUCUUUAGUAGAGAUGGGGUUUCACCAUGUUGACCAGGAUGGUCUCGAUCUGUUGACCUCGUGAUCCACCCGCCUCGGCCUCCCAAAGUGCUGGGAUUACAGGCUUGAGCCACCGCGCCCGACCAAUAGUGAGGUUCUUACUAAAGAUUGGAAUAGGCCUUAAGACCAGAUGAAAUAAGCAAUGAUCUAUGCAUGAUUUCAAAGGGUCAGUUAAAGGAUGUUCAGGUGUAUUUAAAAGUAUCUCUACUGGUUAAUAAUAAUAUCUAAAAUUGUAGCACUAGAGGUUUAUUUCUUUGGUUUAUUGUUUUGUUCUUGUUUAAAUGCAGAUAACCGUGAAGGGUUUUCUUUUGUAUGUUUUUAAUAAAAAGUCAUUCAUUCAUUCAACAAAUAUUUGUUGAUUGCCUGCCAUAUAUUAGGUGCUGUUCUAGGUGCUGAAGAUGUGAACAUUAUUGAUUGAGUCCCUAUGGAGGGCAAGAGUGAGAUAGACAGUCAUUCACAAAUAAAUAAUAAGAAAGAUGACAAGAAGUUUCUUUUUUAAAGAGAGUAAGAAAAUCCCCUCUAAUGUUACAUUUAAGCAGAGACUUGAAGGAAAUGAGGGUACGAACCAUAUGACUGUCUGAAGAAAAUUUGUUUCAGGCAGAGAAAAUGAUGCAAAUACAAAGGGCCUGAAGUAAGUGCAUAAUUGGUGUGUUUGAGGAAUAACAAGGAAGCCAGUGUGACUGGAGUGGAUUAAGGAAAGAGUAGCAUUGUAGGAUACAGUCAAUGUGAUACUGUGAUUUAUAGUAAGAAAUAAUACAUUUGGUCUACCUCACCAUUUCCUGACACACAGCUCCUAAAACUCUUAGAAUCUCCAAAGUGAUGUGUCUUUUUGUAUGAUAAUGUUGGUUGGUGGCUCCUAUAUAGCCUCAGGAUGGGGAGGCUGGUUGCCAGGGAAACAGACCAUGUGAUUAAAAGAUUGAAAUUUUUGGCAGUACAGUGGCUCACACCUGUAAUCCCAGCACUUUGGGAGGCUGAGGAGGGUGGAUCACGAGGUCAGGAGUUCAAGACCAACCUAGCCAAAAUGGUGAAACCCUAUCUCUACUAAAAAUACAAAAAUUAGCCGGGCAUGGUGGUGGGCUCCUGUAAUCCCAGCUACUCGGGAGGCUGAGGCAGAGAAUUGCUUAAACCUGGGAGUCGGAGGUUGCAGUAAGCCAAGAUCGCACCACUGCACUCCAGCCUGGGUGACAGCAAGAUUCUGUCUCAAAAAAAAAAAAAAAAAAAGAUUGAAACAUUCAGUCCCACUUCCUCCAUCCAACCCCUACAUCCAGGGAGGGGAGAGGAGCUGAAGGUUGAGCUGGUCACCAGUGGCCAAUGAUUUAAUCAAUCAUGCAUACAUAAUGAAGCCUUUGUAAAAACCCAGAAAAGGACAGGAUUCAAAGAGCUUUUCAUUCUGGGCAGGGUAGCACACCUUUAACUCCACAGGGACAGAAGCUCCUGUGCUUGGGACCCUUCCAAACAUCACCCUAAGUGUCUCUUCAUCUGGCUGUUGAUUUGUAUCCUUUAAAAUAUCCUUUGUUGGCCGGGUGCGGUGGCUCACGCCUAUAAUCCCAGCACUUUGGGUGGAUCACAAGGUCAGGUGGAUCACAAGGUCAGGAGAUCAAGACCAUCCUGGUCAACAUGGUGAAACCCCUUCUCUACUAAAAAUACAAAAAUUAGCUGGGCAUGGUGGCGCGCGCCUGUAGUCCCAGCUACUCGGGAGGCUGAGGCAGGAGAAUUGCUUGAACCCAGGAGGCGGAGGUUGCGGUAAGCCAAGAUCACGCCAUUGUACUCCAGCCUGGGUGACAAGAGCGAAACUCCGUCUCAAAAAAAAAAAAAAUUAGGCUGGGCAUGGUGGCUCAAGCCUGUAAUCCCAGCACUUUAGGAGGCCGAGGCAGGCGGAUCACGAGGUCAAGAGAUCAAGACCAUCCUGGUCAACAUGGUGAAACCCCAUCUCUACUAAAAAUACUAAAAAUUAGCUGGGCAUGGUGGCACGUGCCUGUAAUUCCAGCUACUCAGGAGGCUGAGGCAGGAGAAUUGCUUGAACCCAGGAGGCGGAGGUUGCGGUGAGCUGAGAUCGCACCAUUGCACUCCAGCCUGGGUAAUGAGAGUGAAACUCUGUCUCAAAAAAUAAAAAGUAAAAAAAAAAAUAAUAUAAAAAAAUAAAAAUAAAAUAUCCUUUGUUGAUGCUAUUUCUUAUACCAUUUGUACAAAAAAUAAAAAAUAAAAUAUCCUUUGAAAUAAAUUGGCAAUAGUAAGUAGAGAUAUACCUGAGUUUUGUAAGCUACUCUAGAAAAUUAGUUGGACCUGAAGAGGGGGUCAUGAGAACCCCUAAUUUAUAGUGAAUUGAUCAUUCUACCUAUCUCCAGGUAGAUGGAGUCAGAAUUGAUUGAAUUAUAGGGCACUCACUUGGUGUCUGUUGGAGAAUUGCUUGAUGUAUGGGGAAAAAAAACACACACCUGUGUCAGAAUUAACAUGUUGAGUGUUGAGAGUAGAAAGUGUUUGAUUUUUUCCCAUGUCCUACAGUUAGCAAGGUAAUGAGUGAGUUUAUAAGUAUCUAGCUUUGAGCAGAUUUUUUAAAAAACAAACCUUUGGCCGGGCACGGUGGCCCGUGUCUGUAAUCUCAGCUACUCGGGAGGCUGAGGCAGGAGAAUUGCCUGAACCCAGGAGGCGGAGGUGGCGGUGAGCCGAAUUUGCACCAUUGCACUCCAGCCUGGGUAACGAGUGAAACUCCGUCUCAAAAAAAAAACAAACUUUUAAAUUUUGGAUAAUUUUAGAUGUACAGGAAAGCUGCUAAGAUAAUAUGAUAAUCACCCGUGGGUUCUUCUUGCCUACUGCAUAGAACUGAUUUACUGAGACAGCAGUAUUGCAAUAGAGAAACAGUGUAAUGAAUGUAGAGCCAGCUGAGCAGAAGACAGGAAUUUAUUACUCAAAUCACUCCCUCUGAACAUUCAGGGACUAGGGUUUUUAAAGGAUAAUUUGGCAGCAGGGAGCUAGCGGAAUGCUGAUUGGUUGAGUUGGGGAUGAAAUCAUAGGGGAAUCUAAGUUGUCUUACUGUCUUCACUUCCUGGGUAGGAUUGCAAGACCAGCUGAGUCCAGGUGGCACCAGCUAGUCCAUCAAAAUAGAGGUCUGAAAAAUAUCCAAACACAAAUCUUAGGUUUUAUAAUCAUAGGAACAAUUGAAGAGGUUACAAAUCUUGUGACCUCUAUACAUGACUGCUGAACCACAAUUGUAACCUUCUGGCUAAUUUGUGAGUUUUACAAAGACGGUUUUGUUCCCUGAGCAAGAAGGGUAUUACCAUAUUUGUUUUAAAGUUAAACUAAAUUUCUCCCAUGGUUAGCUUGACCUCUGCCCAGGAGUGAAUAAGGACAGUUUGGAGGUUAGAAACAAGAUGGAGUCAGUUAGGUUAGAUUUCUUUCACCAUCAUAAUUUUUCCAUGUCUGAUUUUUCUCACUGUCAUAAUUUAUGCAAAAGUAGUUUCAGUUUCAAUAUUACCAUCUACCUCUUACCAUUUCCCCUAAUUUCAACAUCUUAUAUUAUAGUGGUAUGUUUGACAAAACUAAGAAGCCAAACAGCAUGUGUUCAUUACUGUUAACUACAUUCCAGACUUAUCUUGUAUUUCAUCAGCUUUUCUUUCUUUUUUUUUUUUUUUUUUUUGAGACAGAGUUUCACUCUUGUUACCCAGGCUGGAGUGUAAUGGCGCAAUCUCGGCUCACCACAACCUCCGCCUCUUGGGUUCAAGCAAUUCUCCUGCCUCAGCCUCCCGAGUAGCUGGGACUACAGGCAUGCACCACCAUGCCCAGCUAAUUUUUGUAUUUUUAGUAGAGACGGGGUUUCACCUUGUUGACCAGGAUGGUCUCGAUCUCUUGACCUCAUGUCCUCUCGCCUCGGCCUCCCAAAGUGCUGGGAUUACAGGCGUGAGCCACUGCACCCGGCCAGCUUUUCCACUAAUGUCCUUUUUCUGUUCAGGAUCCAAUCCAGGAUACUACAUGGCAUCAUGUUUCUUUAUUAUUUUGCAGUCUGUGACAGUUACUCAAUCUUUCCUUGUUUCCUAUGAGCAUAGCAGUCUUAAGGAGCUCUAGCUGUGUGGUUUAUAGAAUGUUUUUCAAUUUGGGCUUAUCUGAUGUUUUCCAAAAGACUAGACCGGGGUUAUGGGCUUCUGGAAAGAAUACCACAGAGGUAGUAGGCCCUUCUCCAGGAGGUAGUGUUCACCCACAUCUCCAGUCUUGAGUGUGGGCUGACUCGCUUCCUAAAAAAGAAUAUGGAGAAAGCUGGUAAAUACUACCUUAACCAAGUGAUCAAAGUUACUGUCACCAGCAGUGAUACUAUGUUGAUAUGAUGUGAUGAGUCCAGCAAAUUUUGAUACAGAGAUAACAUGUGAACAAGACCUGAUUUUAGAGAAAUCUUUACCCACUUUACAAUUUUCCAUAGACUAAACUCACUAAAAAGUACAUAUAAUCUAUAACAAAGUUAUUUUAAAUCAGGAUUUUUGACAUUUCUCUUUAUCUUCCACAAUUAUUUAUUAGUUAGCACCCAAGAUUGUUGUCAUUUUGUAGUGUCUGUAUGGGAGAGAGGAAAAGAGAGAGAGAGGAAGAGAGAAGGAAGGAACAGACUUUGGCUACUUUGCUGCUUUUGUAGUAAUUCACAAAUACAUAGUAUCAGUGGUUGUAAUUUCACGAGAAUAGGAUUCCAAUCCAGACCCCAAGAGAGGGUUCUUGAAUCAUAGUGCAAAGCAAAAGCAAGUUUAUUAAGAAAGUAACGGAAUUGUAAUCCCAGCACUUUGGGAGGCUGAGGCGGGUGGAUCACUAGGUCAAGAGAUCGAGACCAUCCUGGUCAACAUGGUGAAACCCCGUCUCUACUAAAAAUACAAAAAAUUAGCUGGGCAUGGUGGCGCAUGCCUGUAAUCCCAGCUACUCAGGAAACUGAGGCAGGAGAAUUGCCUGAACCCAGAAGGCGGAGGUUGCAGUGAGCUGAGAUCACGCCAUUGCACUCCGGCCUGGGUAACAAGAGUGAAACUCAGUCUCAAAAAAAAAAAAGAAAGUAAAGGAAUAAAAGAAUGACCAUCCCAUAGACAGAGCAGCCCCAAGGGCUGCUGGUUGCCCAUUUUUAUGGUUAUUUCUUGAUUAUAUGCUAAACAAGGGGUGGAUUAUUCAUGCCUCCCCUUUUUAAAUUAUGUAAGUUAACUUUCUCAUGUUGCCAUGACAUUUGUACAUUGUCAUAGCACUGGUGGGAAAGUAGCAAUGAGGAUGACCAGAGGUCACGCUCGUUACAAUCUUGGUUUUGGUGAGUUUUAGCCAUCUUCUUUACUGCAACCUGUUUUAUCAACAAGGUCUUUAAGACCUGUGUCUUGUGCCGACCUCCUCUCUCAUCCUGUGGCUUAGAAUUCCUGACUGUCUGGGAAUGCAGCCCCGUGGGUUUCAGACUUAUUUUACCCAACCCCUAUUCAAGAUGGAGUUGCUAUGGUUCAAAAGCCUGACACAAUGACCACAGAUUAUAUUGAAUCAUGUAUGGUUAGUAGAUUAUUAGUGUGUAAAAGCCCUGAAUUAUUAUUAUUAUUUUGAGAUGGCAUCUCACUGUGUCACCCAGGCUGUGGAGUGCAAUGGCAUGAUCUCAGCUCACUGCAACCUCCUCCUCCCAGGUUCAAGCAAUUCUCUUGUGUUAGCCUCCUGAGUAGCUGGGACUACAGGCACCUGCUACCAGACCCGGCUAAUUUUUGUAUUUUUAGUAGAGACGGGGGUUUCUCGAUGUUCGCAGGCUCGUCUCAAACUCCUGAUCUCAUGAUCUGCCUGCCUUGGCCUCCCAAAGUGCUGGGAUUACAGGCAUAAGCCACCGCACCCAGCCAAAAGCCCUGAAUUUUACGUCUUUAUAAUUCCCAUUUAACUCAGAGCUGGCUAUAUUAAGUGCCAUUUUUAUAGCCAAAUGGGUAUAUUUUUGUUGCAAAUUUAAGGGAUUUUCAAAUGUUGAUCUCUUAAAAUGCACUGUAGCUUACCUUCUACUUGGCAAUGUGGAAUGGAGUGAAUACUGAAUUUGUAGAUUGAAGAUUUGUGUUCUAGGUCCUACACCAUUACUUCCUAAAUAUAACUAGGGCUAAUUCACUUAACUCAGUUUUCUUUUUUUAAUUUUUGUUUUGUUUUGUUUUCUUUCAAUUUUCUCAUCUAUAAAAUUGGUAUAAUCAUACUUCAUCUUUAGCUAUGCCUACUCUUCAACAUGCAUCAUCAGAGUUUUUCUAUUUAAAUCAUGUUGUGUGUUUUUGUUUGUUUGUUUGAGACAAGGUUUCUCACUAUAUUGUCCAGGCUAAACUCAAACUUCUCCUCUCAAGUGAUCCUCUCACCUUAGCCUCCUAAGUAGCUGGGACUACGGACACAUUUCACUGCAUUUAAGUAGAUUUUAAAGGCCAUUAAAUAAUUUGGAAAAAAUGAUUUCAAGCAUAGCAUCCCUAACAAUUAAGCAGCUAUUAACUGCUCCUUACAGGUUGUUGUAAAGUUUAAGAGAGAGCAUAUACAUAAAUGUCUAGCACAUAAUAAAGUUUGAAUAAACAGAAAGUAAUAGGAUAGAGGUAGAAUUUUCUAUUGUCCUGUUUACCUGAUCCUAUUUAAGUAAAUAUUUAAUUCAGCCUUGUUCAUUCUCCAUAGGCCUUUGCUUAUAAAUUCUUGUCAAUAAGAAAUUAUAGCUUAAGGAUGAGCUUGCUGUCAUUAAAAAAAAAAAAUUAUAGCCCAGCACAGUGGCUCGCACCUAAAAUCCCAGCUACUCAGGAGGCUGAGGCAGGAGGAUUGCUUGAGCCUGAGAGGUUGAGGCUGCAGUGAGCCAUGAUCACACCACUGCACUCCAGUCUGAGUUGCAGAGCAAGACUCUGUCUCAGAAAAGAAAGGAAUCGUGACAGAAGCUAAUCAAUCAGAUGUUAGGGAUAUUAUAGAGAGAAUUCCUACCUGCAAAUUGAAAGUUGACUAGAUGACUUCUGUGGUUCCUUCCGAUUCUAUGAUUUUGCUUUAAUACAUAUUGUACCUAUCUCUUAGGAUUUAGUUGAGAGCUUUAAGGGCUGAGAUAGUAUAUGUGAAAACCAUUUGAAAACAUAAAGUACUAUACAAAUAUGUGGUAUUAUUAUAUAAGACUAGUAAACUAGUCAACAGAGAUUCCCUCAGUAGAACUAUCAGUGGCCAGGCAUGGUGGCUCAUGCUUAUAAUCCCAGCACUUUGGGAGGCCAAGGUGGGUGGAUUGCUGGAGGCCAAGAGUGUGAGACCAGCUGGGCCAACAUGGUGAAACCCAGUCUCUCUACUACAAACACAAAAACUAAAUGGGUGUGGUUGUGUGCGCCUGUAAUCCCAACUGCUCAGGAAGCUGAGGCAUGAGAAUUACUUGAACCCAGGAGGCAGAGAUUGCAGUGAGCUGAGGUUGCACCGCUGCAUUUCAGCCUGGGUAAGAGAGCAAGACUCUGUCUCAGAAAAAAGGAAAAAACCUAUCGGUAUUCAUUGGAAAUUAAAAGGUAUACAUAAUGUAUUAAGGUUUUUUUGUUUGUUUUGUUUUGUUUGGUGAGGCCUAGAAUUUAUUGUAUUAAUAAUUGUUACCAUGGUUUGUUAUCUAUUUGUGUUUGUUUUCUUAGCUAGAGGAUUGUAGCAUUUUUUUAUUGCAUACAUUCUCCUAUUUCUUUUCUUUUCUUUUUUGAGACGGAGUUUCGCUCUUGUUACCCAGGCUGGAGUGCAAUGGCACGAUCUCGGCUCACCACAACCUCCGCCUCCUGGGUUCAGGCAAUUCUCCUGCCUCAGCCUCCUGAGUAGCUGGGAUUACAGGCAUGCACCACCAUGCCCAGCUAAUUUUUUUGUAUUUUUAGUAGAGACAGGGUUUCAACAUGUUGACCAGGAUGGUCUCGACCUCUUGACCUUGUGAUCCACCCACCUCGGCCUUGCAAAGUGCUGGGAUUACAGGCGUGAGCCACCGCGCCUGGCCCACAUUCUCCUAUUUCUUAUUCUCCGUUUACUCUGUGACAGUUUUUCCUAAGGCAGUGGCCAGAUGUGUUGUUGUGACAGUUCAGGUUAUAAUUCAGCAUUUCCAUCAAGGAGACAUCUUUCUGAAAACUAUUUGGAAAUAGACAAUAGCUCUCUGCAAUCAAAUUUACUCAGCUUGAUGCCACUACUUUUGGUUUAACUUAAGCAGCACAGAACCAAUUUUAUGGUGAAUUCAGAAGAGAAGCUAUUGCUGGAAAGUAAAAUGACUUUGAGCCCUUCUAUGAUAUCUACUGCCAAGUAUUUCUUCUUCUCACUAUGAGAAUAAUACAUACUUUGUACUGUUGUGGUUCUUCUGCAUAAAAAAGUUUUAUAAUCCUUCUUUUUUUUACUUUUGUCAUUUUUUGUUUUCUGACCAGAUCAGAUCUUUUCAAAGUCAAACUAUAAUUUUAUUAUUUAGUUCCCUAUGGAGUAGCAGUUAAAGAAAAUCAUGGUAAAUUACUCUAUUCUUAGUUGUAAUUUUAUUUCACAACUAUGAAUAAAAGCAUUUUCCAGGCAGGGUGUGGUGGCUUAUGCCUGUAAUCCCAACACUUUGGGAGGCCAAGGCAGGUGGAUCACGAGGUCAGGAGUUCAAGAGCAGCCUGGCUAAGAUGGUGAAAUCCUGUCUCUACUAAAAAUGCAAAAAUUAACCCGGUGCAGUGGCUUACACCUGUAGUCUCAACUACUUGGGAGGCUGAGGCAGGAGAAUCGAUUGAACCCGGGUGGCAGAGGUUGCAGUGAGCUGAGAUUGUGCCACUACACUUCAGCCUGGACGACAGAAUGAGACAAAACAAAACAAAACAAAACACAUUUUCCUAGAUAUUUUCCAUAGAAUUCCUGAAAACAGUUUCUCAGAUCUUUCUCAGUAUUAAAACCAUUUUGUUUCUAGUUGUUGUAAUUUUGUUACUUCCCCCAUCAGCAUUCCUAUUUCUUUUCAUUUCUAAAAUUCUUUUGGUUUAUUUUCUGAGUUUAACAGUGGGGAAUCCAUUUGACUGUGCUCACAGCAGGUAGUAAGUGCUGUGGUAGUCAGUGGAUUGGUUUAUUUGGAUGGUUAAAAGAAUAAUAGGGUAAUUAAGCUUUUCUGAAGCUGCCAACUGUAUUGGAGGUUUGGUGUACAUUUAAGGCUUAUUUAAAAAUAGUUCCUUCAGAAACUGAACUAUUAACCAGUAGAAUUUCUAAGGGCAUAUUCUUUUUAUCAGGUACAGAUUACUUAGAUUACUGGAAUUUGUGUCAAACAGAUUUCCUCUUUCAUAUAAGGAUAAGUCGAAUGCUAUACUAUAUCAUUCAGAUUUGUAAUGUUUAAUUUAUGAUCUUUAGUAGGGUGCUUUUUACCUACCAUAAACUCCCAAAUAUAACUUUUAAAAAUAAUGUAUGCUUUAAAAAUACAGACUUCUUGUAAUCCUAGCACUUUGGGAGGCUGAGGCAGGCAGAUUGCCUGAGCUCAGGAGUUUGAGACCAGCCUGGGCAACAUGGUGAAACCCCGACUCUACUAAAAUAGAAAAAAUUAGCCGGGCAUGGCGGUGUUCACCUGUAGUCCCAGCUACUCGGGAGGCUGAGGCAGGAGAAUUGCUUGAACUUGGGAGGCAGAGGUUGCAGUGAGCUGAGAUUGCACCACUGCACUCCAGCCUGGGUGACAGAGGAAGACUCAAUCUCAAAAAAAAAAAAAAAAAAAAAAAAACGGCUUCUAACAGAGUAAGAAACAUUUAUUCAGGUACUUUUAAAGAUGCAGAAUUAGCCACGAUCUUUGCUUCUUGAACUCAAAAUCUAAAUCUAGAUAAAAUACAGAAAAGGAAUUGCUUUUAUGAGCUACAGUUAUGAGGUCUAAAAUUUUAUCUGCAUAAACUGGGAUGUUGACAUCUUUAAAACCCCAAGCAUUCUGUUCUGAACCAUAAAUGGAAGCAGAGCUCUAUAGCCUUCAGAUUUAUAAUUUUCACAGUGGUUUGAUUCAGAGCGCUUUGAAAAGGUAAUUUAAAUUUAGAUUUAAAUUUGAAAGGGAGAAAUGCCUUAAGGUUUUAUAGCUCUCAGAAGAUAAUGGAUAGGAAUAGUCAUUGUGUGUGAGAGAAGAAAGAAAACCGUAAGAGGAAUGUGGGAUUUAGAAACAUGUACUAAACCUGGUGGAAGAAUAGAAAUUGAUAGAUGGAAAGACGUGAUGUAGGGAAAUAUACAGUCAUUGAAUUUGAGAGUUCUUGAAUAGUUAACAUUCAGCUUUCAGCUGUUCAUUCAAUAAAUAUUUAUUGAGUACUUUCUGUGUGCUUUUUGGCACCAAGGUUUUAAGCAGAUAAGUAUCAAUGACGUAACUAAUUUUGAACUUUUUGUUUUGAAAUGAUUUUAGAUUUAUAGCAAGUUGAAAAGAUAAAGAGUUCCUUCUCUCAGGUGCUACAUGAUUGUGGUACAUUAAUCAAAACUAAGAAUUUACCAUUGGUACUGACAUUUUUAAAGGACUUAUCUGGCUCUUGCUGGCAGAAUAAACUAUGGGGUUGGAGGAGGCAGAGCGGAGACUAGAUAGCAGUUGAUGACGUUAAUCCAGGGAAAUCAUAGUAAUGAUGGUUUAGACUAGUGGGCUAUCUAUAAAAGUGGUAACAGAUAGUCGGAUUUUGAAGAUAGAACCAAGAAGAUUUGCUGAUGGAUUGGAUUUGGGAUGUGAGAUAAACAGAGGAAUCAAAAUGACUCUAAGAUUUUUGGAAAGGAGUCAUUUCUAAAUAUGGAAAAUGAGUUUUAGCACCAACCUUACUGUCUUUCCCUCCACAGCUCUUUAAAAGUUUUAGUUAUUUUAGUAUCUACACAGACAAUCCUGUAAUGCUCAGAUAUCUCUGUUUCUUGACCUCCUCACCUCCAAUGGUCUUGUCUUCCACCUCAAUUUAGUUACUCCUAAGAUCAUCCUCUAGGCCAUGUCAUUACUAAUAACAACCUUCAUUUUAAGCAUUGCACUCUCCUGUCACAACUCCUGUCUUUCCAGCCCUCUCCCUAUAGUACAUGAACUUCAACAAUUUUAACUCGAACAGGUGCUUGGAUCCAUUUUCCCUAUAAUCUUCACUACCCUCCUUCCUUGGCCCAUUAUUAAAAUUAGGGCAAAUGAAAAAAUAGAGUUACUGUUUAUUGAAAUAAGGAAGUUUAUAGGAGAAAUAGGUUUGGUGAAAAGGAGGUUGAGAAUUAGGAUUUUGUUUUGGGACAAAUAAGUUUAAUAAGUUUGAAAUGAACAUUAGCUAUCCAAGAGUAGGUACUUGAGUAUAAGAGCCUGGUGUUUGAAUGAGAGGUUUGGACCAGAAACAUACAUUGGGAGUCAUCAGCAUAUAGAUAAUAUAUAAAGAUAUGAGACAUGAUGAAAUCUAUUAAAUGGCUAUAGAUAGAGAAGAAAGCAAGAAAUCAACCCUAGGCAAUUACCAUUUUUAGAGGUCAGGAAAGCCUUGGUGUUGUGGCUUACACCCGUAAUCCCAGCACUUUGGGAGGCCAAGAUGGGUGGGUCACCUGAGGUCAGGAGUUUGAGACCAGCCUGGCAAACAUGGCAAAACCUUGUGUCUACUAAAAAUACAAAAAUUAGCCAGGCAUGGUGGCAGGCACUUGUAUCCCAGCUACUUGGGAGGCUGAGGCAGAAGUGCUUGAACCUGGGAGGCGGAGGUUGCAGCAAGCCGAGAUCACCCCAUUGCACUCUAGCCUGGGAGACAAGAGUGAAACUCCAUCUUAAAAAAAAGAAAAAGAAGAGGAACCAGUGAAAGAGAUCAAAAGAAGGAUCUAAUGAAAUAGAAAGAGAACCAAGAGAAGUAGUGACCCAAAAGUGAAACGGAAAGGUUUCACGGUAGAGAAAAAUGAUCAUUUGUGUCAUAUACUGCUGAUAGUACAAGUAAAAUUAAAAUGAGAAUUGACAGUUGGGUUUGGCAAAAUGGAAGACAUUGUGACUUUAAUAAAAGCAGUUUCAGAAAAACGGUGAGAAUUAGAGCCUGAAUGGAACGAGUUAAAGAGAAAAUGGGAAAAGAAGGUAGUCGCAAGUACAGAUUGCUCUUUCAUGUCCGAUUGGAAAGGACAGUAGAGAAAUGGGACUUUGACUGGGGAGGUGAGAUGUUGGUCAAGAAACCUGUAUUUUAACAUUGGAAACAUUGCAUGCCAAUGGAAAUGACUAGUAGAGAGAGAGAACUGAUAAUGUAAGAGAGAGAAAAUUGCAGGUUGGUGAGAGAGGAUAGAAUCCAUAGAUGUGGUUAGGUGCAGUGUUUCACGUCUGUAGUCCUAGCACUUUGGGAGGCUGAGGUGGGUGGAUGGCUUGAGCCCAGGAGUUUGAGACCAGCCUUGGCAACAUAGUAAGACGCCAUCUCUAUAAGAAACAAACAACAAAAACAACACCCAGGUGCCUUUGAGGUAAGAGAAUCGCUUGAACCUGCAUGGUUGAGGCUGUAGUGAGCUGUGAUCAAGCCAUUGCAUUCCAGGCUGGGUGACACAGUGAGACUCUGUCUCAAAAAAAAAAAAAAAGCCGGGCACGGUGGCUCACGCCUGUAAUCCCAGCACUUUGGGAGGCUGAGGCGGGUGGAUCACGAGGCCAAGAGAUCAAGACCAUCCUGGUCAACAUGGUGAAACCCCGUCUCUACUAAAAAUACAAAAAAUUAGCUAGGCAUGGUGGCGCUUGCAUGUAAUCCCAGCUACUCAGGAAGCUGAGGCAGGAGAAUUGCCUGAACCCAGGAGGCGGAGGUUGCGGUGAGCCAAGAUCGUGCCAUUGCACUCCAGCCUGGGUAACAAGAGAGAAACUCCGACUCAAAGAAAAAAAUUCAAUGGAUACAUAGAAGAGAUGGCCUUAGCUAGGAUUAUGGACAGUUUUACCAUUAUAUAGGAAGAAAGUGUACGGGUGUAGAUGCACAUAUUUUAGUAUAUGUUUAGUGUGAUGAGAGCUUAUCUGAGUCAUAAUUUCUGUUUUUUCUAUGAGAAUGAGGAGAGGGAGGGAGAAGAGUUGGUUUUUUAAAAAUAUAGUAAAGAGUCAUUUAAAGUUAGUAGUAAUGAAUUAAAGAAGCCAGGUCAUUAUAUUGAAUUUUACUUUAGUCACAUUUAGCUGUUUCAAUGAUACAGUAGCGCGAUCAUAGCUCACUGCAACCUUGAACUCCUGGGCUCAAGGGAUCCUCCCACCUCAGCCUGCCAUAUAGCUAGGACUACAGGUAUGUGCCACCACACCUGGCUAAUUUUUGUAUUUUUUGUAGAGAUGGGAUCUUACUACGUUGCCAAGACUGGUCUUGAACUCUCGGCCUCAAGCAAUCCUCUUACCUUGGUCUCCUAAAGUGUUGAGAUUACAGAUUGUGAACCAUUGAGCCCAGCCUCUUACCUUAUUCUUUUUAAUGGCUGCACUGUAUUCCAUUGUAUUUCACCAGUGCCCUAUUGAGAAUUUAAAAAAAAAUUAUUUCUAGGUUUUUGCUCUAGCAAACAUUGUUAAAUAUAUGUCUUGAAGUACUUUUGUGUGUAUGUGUGUGAUGGAGUCUCGCUCCGUCGCCCAGGCUGAAGUGCAGUGGCAUGAUCUUAGCUUACUGCAGCCUCCACCUCCUGGUUUCAAGUGAUUUACCUGCCUCAGUCUCCUGAGUAGCUGGGACUACUCAGUGGUGUGGCACAUACCACCAUAUCCGGCUAAUUUUUGUAUUUUUAGUGGAGACAGGGUUUCACAGUGUUGGCCAGGAUGGUCUCAAUCUCCUGACCUUGUGAUUGAAGUACUUUUACAGCUAUAUAAAUAGAAUAAAUUUCUAAUGUUUGGUUGAAAUGUGAAUUUUGAAAGAUAUUAGAGAUAGGUGUGAUGGCUCAUGCCUGUAAUCCGAAGACUUUGGGUUGCCAAGGCAGCUGGAUCACUUGAGGUCGGAAGUUUAGUCCAGAAGCAUGGAUUUCUUUUUCUUUUUAAUUUUACUUUAAGUUUCGGGAUACAAGUGGAGAAUGUGUAGGUUUGUUACACAGGCAUAUGUGUGUCAUGGUGGUUUGCUGCACCUGUCAACCCAUUAUCUAGGUUUUAAGGCUCCGCAUGCAUUAGCUAUUUGUCCUAAUUCUCUCCCUCCUUUUGCUCCCCACCCCCUGACUGGUCCUGGUGUGUGUUGUUCCCCUCCCUGUGUCCAUCUGUACUCAUUGCUCAACUUCCACUUAUGAGUAAGAACAUGCAGUAUUUGGUUUCCUGUUCCUGUGUUAGCUUGCUGAGGAUGAUAGCUUCCAGCUUCAUCCAUGUCCCUGCAAAGAACAUGAUCUCAUUCGUUUUUAUGGCUGCACAGUAUUCCAUGGUGUUUAUAUACCACAUUUUAUUUAUUUAUUCUAUCAUUGAUGGGCAUUUGGGUUCGUUCUAUGUCUUUGCUAUUGUAAAUAGUGCUGCAAUAAACAUAUGUGUGCAUGUGUCUUUAUAGUAGAAUUAUUUAUAUUCCUUUGGGUAUAUACCCAGUAAUGGGAUUGCUGGGUCAAAUGGUAUUUCUGGUUCUAUAUCCUUGAGGAAUCACCACACUGUCCUCCACAAUGGUUGAACUAAUUUACAUUUCCACCAACAGUGUAAAAGUGUUCCUGUUUCUCCACAACCUCACCAGCAUCUAUUGUUUCUUGACAUUUUAUUAAUCACCAUUCUGACUGGUAUGAGAUGGUAUCUCAUUAUGAUUUUUACUUACAUUUCUCUAAUCACCUGUGAUGUUUAGCUUUUUUCAUAUGUUUGUUGGCCGCAUAAAUGUCUUCUUUUGAGAAGUGUCUUUUCAUAUCCUUUGCCCAUUUUUUUUUAACUUUUUAUUGCAUUUUAGGUUUGGGGGUACAUGUGCAGAACAUGCAAGACAGUUGCAUAGGUACACACAUGGCAGUGUGUUUUGCUUCCUUUCUUCCCUUCACCCACAUUUGGCAUUUCUCCCCAGGCUAUCCCUCCCCACCUCCCCCUCCCACUGGCCCUCCCCUUUUCCCCCCAAUAGACCCCAGUGUUUAAUACUCCCCUCCCUAUGUCCAUGUGUUCUCAUUUUUCAUCACCCACCUAUGAGUGAGAAUAUGCGGUGUUGCAUUUUCUGUUCUUGUGUCAGUUUGCUGAGAAUGAUGUUCUCCAGAUUCGUCCAUGUCCCUACAAAUGACACAAACUCAUCAUUUCUGAUUGCUGCAUAAUAUUCCAUAGUGUAUAUGUGCCACAUUUUCCCAAUCCAGUCUAUCAUCGAUGGGCAUUUUGGUUGAUUCCAGGUCUUUGCUAUUGUAAACAGCGCUGCAAUGAACAUUCGUGUGCAUGUGUCCUUAUAGUAAAAUGAUUUAUAGUCCUUUGGAUAUAUACCCAGUAAUGGGAUUGCUGGGUCAAAUGGAAUUUCUAUUUCUAAGGCCUUGAGGAAUCGCCACACUGUUUUCCACAAUGGUUGAACUAAUUUACAGUCCCACCAACAGUGUAAGUGUUCCUUUUUCUCCACAUCCUCUCCAGCAUCUGUUGUCUCCAGAUUGUUUAAUGAUCGCCAUUCUAACUGGCGUGAGAUGGUAUCUCAAUGUGGUUUUGAUUUGCAUCUCUCUGAUGACCAGUGACGAUGAGCAUUUUUUCAUAUGAUUGUUGGCCUCAUAUAUGUCUUCUUUCGUAAAGUGUCUGUUCAUAUCCUUUAUCCAAUUUUGAAUGGGCUUGUUUGUUUUUUUUUCCUGUAAAUCUGUUUGAGUUCUUUGUAAAUUCUGGAUAUCAGCCCUUUGUCAGAUGGGUAAACUGCAAAAAUUUUUUCCCAUUCUGUUGGUUGCCGAUUCACUCUAGUGACUGUUUCUUUUGCCGUGCAGAAGCUGUGGAGUUUGAUUAGGUCCCAUUUGUCUAUUUUGGCCUUUGUUGCCAAUGCUUUUGGUGUUUUGUUCAUGAAUUCCUUGCCUACUCCUAUGUCUUGGAUGGUUUUGCCUAGAUUUUCCUCUAGGGUUUUUAUGGUGCCAGGUCUUAUGUUUAAGUCUUUAAUCCAUCUGGAGUUAAUUUUGGUGUAAGGUGUCAGGAAGGGGUCCAGUUUCUGCUUUCUGCACAUGGCUAGCCAGUUUUCCCAACACCAUUUGUUGAACAGGGAAUCCUUUCCCCAUUGCUUGUUUUUGUUGGGUUUAUCAAAGAUUGUAUGGUUGUAGACAUGUUGUGUUGCCUCCGAUGCCUCUGUUCUGUUCCAUUGGUCUAUAUCUCUGUUUUGGUAUCAGUACCAUGCUGUUUUGAUUACUGUAGCCUUGUAGUAUAGUUUGAAAUCUGGUAGUGUGAUGCCCCCCGCUGUGUUCUUUUUGCUUAGAAUUGACUUGGCUAUGCGGGCUCUCUUUUGGUUCCAUAUGAAGUUCAUGGUGUUUUUUUCCAGUUCUGUGAAGAAAGUCAAUGGUAGCUUGAUGGGGAUAGCAUUGAUUCUGUAAAUUACUUUGGGCAGUAUAGCCAUUUUUACGAUAUUAAUUCUUCCUAACCAUGAGCAUGGAAUGUUUCUCCAUCUGUUUGUGUCCUCUCUGAUUUCGUUGAGCAGUGGUUUGUAGUUUUCCUUGAAGAGGUCCCUUACGUUUCUUGUGAGUUGUAUUCUAAGGUAUUUUAUUCUUUUUGUAGCAAUUGUGAAUGGCAGUUCGUUCUUGAUUUGGCUUUCUUUGAGUCUGUUAUUGGUGUAUAGUAAUGCUUGUGAUUUUUGCACAUUGAUUUUAUAUCCCGAGACUUUGCUGAAGUUGCUUAUCAGUUUCAGGAGUUUUUGGGCUGAGGUGAUGGGGUCUUCUAGGUAUACUAUCAUGUCGUCUGCAAAUAGAGACAAUUUGGCUUCCACCUUUCCAAUUUGAAUACCCUUUAUUUCUUUUUCUUGCCUGAUUGCUCUGGCUAGAGCUUCCAGUACUGUAUUGAAUAGGAGUGGUGAAAGAGGGCAUCCUUGUCUAGUGCCAGAUUUUAAAGGGAAUGCUUCCAGUUUUUGCCCAUUCAGUAUGAUAUUGGCUGUUGGUUUGUCAUAAAUAGCUUUUAUUACUUUGAGAUACGUUCCAUCGAUACCGAGUUUAUUGAGGGUUUUUAGCAUAAAGGGCUGUUGAAUUUUGUCAAAUGCCUUCUCUGUGUCAAUUGAGAUAAUCAUGUGGUUUUUGUUUUUGGUUCUGUUUAUGUGGUGAAUUAUGUUUAUAGACUUGCGUAUGUUGAACCAGCCUUGCAUCCCCGGGAUGAAUCCUACUUGAUCAUGAUGGAUAAGUUUUUUUAUUUGCUGUUGCAAUCAGCUUGCCAAUAUUUUAUUGAAGAUUUUUGCAUCUAUGUUCAUCAUGGACAUUGGCCUGAAGUUUUCUUUUCUCGUUGAGUCUCUGCUGGGUUUUGGUAUCAGGAUGAUAUUGGUCUCAUAGAAUGAUUUGGGAAGGAUUCCUUCUUUUUGGAUUAUUUGGAAUAGUUUCAGAAGGAAUGGUACCAGCUUCUCUUUGUGUGUCUGGUAGAAUUCGGCUGUGAACCCGUCUGGACCUGGGCUUUUUUUGUGUGGUAGGCUCUUAAUUGCUGCCUCGACUUCUGCCCUUGUUAUUGGUCUGUUCAUAGUUUCAGCUUCCUCCUGGUUUAGGCUUGGGAGGACGCAGGAGUCCAGGAAUUUAUCCAUUUCUUCCAGGUUUACUAGUUUAUGUGCAUAGAGUUGUUUGUAAUAUUCUCUGAUGUUGGUUUGAAUUUCUGUGGAAUCUGUGGUGAUUUCCCCUUUAUCAUUUUUUAUUGCAUCUAUUUGGUUGUUCUCGCUUUUCUUUUUAAUCAGUCUGGCUAGUGGUCUGUCUAUUUUGUUGAUCUUUUCAAAAAACCAACUCUUGGAUUUAUUGAUUUUUUGGAGGGUUUUUCAUGUCUCAAUCUCCAUCAGUUCAGCUCUGAUCUUAGUAAUUUCUUGUCUUCUGCUGGGUUUUGAGUUUUUUUGAUCUUGCUCCUCUAGCUCUUUCAAUUUUGACGAUAGGGUGUCAAUUUUGGAUCUCUCCAUUCUUCUCAUAUGGGCACUUAUUGCUAUAUACUUUCCUCUAGAGACUGCUUUAAAUGUGUCCCAGAGAUUCUGGCAUGUUGUGUCUUCGUUCUCAUUGGUUUCGAAAAACUUCUUUUUUCUGCCUUCAUUUCAUUGUUUAUCCAGUCAACAUUCAAGAGCCACUUGUUCAGUUUCCAUGAAGCUGUGCGGUUCUGGGUCGGUUUCUGAAUUCUGAGUUCUAACUUGAUUGCACUAUGGUCUGAGAGGCUGUUUGUUAUGAUUUCAGUUGUUUUGCAUUUGUUGAGCAGUGCUUUACUUCCAAUUAUGUGGUCAAUUUUAGAGUAGGUGUGAUGUGGUGCUGAGAAGAAUAUAUAUUCUGUGGAUUUGGGGUGGAGAGUUCUGUAAAUGUCUAUCAGGUUUGCUUGCUCCAGGUCUGAGUUCAAGCCCUGGAUAUCCUUGUUGAUUUUCUGUCUGGUUGAUCUGUCUAAUAUUGACAGUGGAGUGUUAAAGUCUCCCACUAUUAUUGUGUGGGAGUCUAAGUCUCUUUGUAAGUCAUUAAGAACUUGCCUUAUGUAUCUGGGUGCUCCUGUAUUGGGUCCAUAUAUGUUUAGGAUCGUUAGUUCUUCUUGUUGUAUCGAUCCUUUGACCAUUAUGUAAUGGCCUUCUUUGUCUCUUUUGAUCUUUGUUGCUUUAAAGUCUAUUUUAUCAGAGAUGAGAAUUGCAACUCCUGCUUUCUUUUGCUCUCCAUUUGCUUGGUAAAUCUUCCUCCAUCCCUUUAUUUUGAGCCUUUGUGUAUCCUUGCAUGUGAGAUGGGCUUCCUGGAUACAGCACACUGAUGGGUUUUGGAUUUUUAUCCAAUUUGCCAGUCUGUGUCUUUUGAUUGGUGCAUUUAGUCCAUUUACAUUUAGGGUUAAUAUUGUUAUGUGUGAAUUUGAUACUGCCAUUUUGAUGCUAGCUGGCUGUUUUGCCCAUUAGUUGUUAUAGAUUCUUCAUUAUGUUGAUGCUCUUUAGCAUUUAGUGUGAUUUUAGAAUGGCUGGUACUGGUUGUUCCUUUCUAUGUAUAGUGCCUCUUUCAGGAGCUCUUGUAAAGCAGGCCUGGUGGUGACAAAAUCUCUGAGUACUUGCUUGUUCGCAAAGGAUUUUAUUUUUCCUUCACUUCUGAAGCUCAGUUUGGCUGGAUAUGAAAUUCUGGGUUGAAAGUUCUUUUCUUUAAGGAUGUUGAAUAUUGGCCCCCACUCUCUUCUGGCUUGUAGAGUUUCUGCCGAGAGAUCUGCUAUGAGUCUGAUGGGCUUCCCUUUGUGGGUGACCCUACCUUUCUCUCUGGCUGCCCUUAGUAUUUUCUCCUUUAUUUCAACCUUGUUGAAUCUGACGAUUAUGUGCCUUGGGGUUGCUCUUCUUGUGGAAUAUCUUUAUGGUGUUCUCUGUAUUUCCUGCAAUUGAGUGUUGGCCUGUCUUGCUAGGUGGGGGAAAUUUUCCUGGAUAAUGUCCUGAAGAGUAUUUUCCAGCUUGGAUUCAUUCUCUUCGUCACAUUCUGGUACGACUAUCAAAUGUAGGUUAGGCCCCUUCACAUAGUCCCACAUUUCUUGGAGACUUUGUUCAUUCCUUUUUGCACUUUUUUCUCUGAUCUUGGUUUCUCGUUUUAUUUCAUUGAGUUGAUCUUCGACUUCUGAUAUCCUUUCUUCUGCUUGGUCAAUUCGGCUAUUGAAACUUGUGCAUGCUUCGCGAAGUUCUCGUAUUGUGUUUUUCAGCUCCUUUAAUUCAUUCAUAUUCCUCUCUAAGUUAUCCAUUCUUGUUAUCAUUUCCUCGAAUCUUUUUUCAUCUUUUUUCAAGGUUCUUAGUUUCUUUGCAUUGAUUUAAAACAUGUUCUUUUAGCUCACAAAAGUUUCUCAUUAUCCACCUUCUGAAGUCUAAUUCCAUCAUUUCGUCACAGUCAUUCUCCAUCCAGCUUUGUUCCCUUGCUGGUGAGGAGUUUUGGUCCUUUCUAGGAGGCGAGGUGUUCUGGUUUCGGGUGUUUUUCUCCUUUUUGCGCUGCUUUCUUCCAUCUUUGUGGAUUUAUCCACCUUUCGUCUGUGUAGUUGCUGACUUUUCGAUUGGGUCUCUGAGUGGACACCCAGAUUGUUGAUGAUGAAGUAUUUCUGUUACUUGGUUUUCCUUCUACCAGUCAGCCCCUUCGCUGUACGACUGCUGAGGUCCACUCCAGGCCCUGCUUCUCUGGGGUGCACCUAUAGCAGCUGCAGAACAGUGAGGGAUGCUACCAGUUUCUUUUUCUGCUAUCUUUGUCCCAGAAUGAUGCCUGCCAAAUGUCAGUCUUUUGGAUAUAGAGGGGUCAGGGAGCUGCUUGAGGAGACAGUCUGUACUUUGUAGGAGCUCAAGUGCUGAGCUGUGAGCUCUGUUGUUCAUUCAGGGCUGUUAGGCUGCUAUGUUUAAUUCUGCUGCAACAUAACUCAUAAAAAAAAAACCCUUUUUUUUCUCAGAUGCUCUGUCUGGGGGGGGUUGGGGCUUUCCUUGUGAGUGUCCACCGCGCUCUCCUGCCCAGCUAGGAGGCAGUCUAGUCACUAUUUGCCUGCCGAGGCUCUGCCCUGCUGGUGUGAGGUUCGCCCUGUUGCUGCAGGCUCUGCCCUUCUGCUGCGGUCUCCGCCCUGCUGCCACGGGCUACGCCCUGAGGCGGAGUCUCUCUGUUGUAGCGGGUUGCCUCGGCAAUGGCAGGCUGCAUCAGCAAUGGGCGUGUACCUCAGUAGGGGCGGUUUGCCUCAGUAAUGGCAGGCUCCCCUCCCCCAUGGAGCUGCGGCCUCAGGGAACCCCUCCAUGGGGAGCAUUUGGAAUCGCCGUUUUGUUUGUCCCACUGCGCUACCCCAAACGCUGUGACCCUGGAAUCUCCUGGGCUGGCUCACUGUCCAAGUCCCGUUCAGUCUCAAGUUCAGCCCUCCCAAGUCUCAAGUUGCCGGCCCAACAGGGCACCUGGACGAGCGCGCUUUGUGGGGACCGCUGUGUAGCACCGCCACAGCGUGGGCCGUUGCCGCACCGGCCACCGGCUGCACCAGCCAAAACCUCUGCCUGGCGUCCCGCAUCUCCUCUAUACCUAGGAAUUUCCCCGUUCUGUGGGCAACAAAGAUCCGUCUGGAAAUGCGGCCCUGACUCACCCCUUCCACGCAUUGACCGCGAGCUUCAAUCCUGGGUUGUUCUCACAGCACCAUCUUGAGUCCUCUCCCUUUGCCCAUUUUUUGAAGGGGUUGUUUUUUUCUUAUAAAUUUGUUUAAGUUCCUUGUAGAUUCUGGAUAUUGGACCUUUGUCAAAUGGGUAGAUUUAAAAAAUUUUCUCCCAUUCUGUAGGUAUAGCAUGGGUUUCAGAGAGUUUUGAGGGAGAAAGGAGGGACACUGAUCUGUAGGUUUCAGUAAGGAGCAAGUUCCUAAAAACAAUAAAUAAAAUUAAAUGAUUUCAUUAAAUUACAUUCUUAUCAAUAGUGUAUGGAUGUACUAGUUUCUCUAUACCGUUCCUUCUCUUUUCCUCCAACUGAGAAUUGUUUGUUAAUGUUAUGUGUGGUUUGUAUUAAGCUAAAUUGCAAAGUAUUGGCUGGGUGCAGUGGUUCAUGCCUAUAAUCUCAGAAAGAACUUUGGGGGGCCAAGAUGGGAGGAUCACUUGAGGUCAGGAGUUUGAGACCAGCAUGGCCAACACGGUGAAACCCCAUCUUUACUAAAAAUACAAAAAUAAGGUGAGUGUGGUGGCACAUGCCUAUAGUCCCAGCUACUCAGGAGGCUGAGGCAGGAGACUUUCUUGAACCCAGGAGGCUGCAGUGAGCCAAGAUUGCACCACUGCACUCUAGCCUAGGCAACAGAGUGAGAUUCUGUGUAAAUUAAAAAAAAGAAAAUUGCAAAGUAUUCUAAUUGGUUUAUUAGUUGUCUCUGAUGAAUAGCAUUGAAAUAGGAGGGAAGAGUACUAUUGCUUUUCAUUAUAACUCCCUUUAUAUUUUUUAGUUUUUAACUAUGUGCUUGUGAUAUGAAUCAUUUAAAAUAUGUGUGUAUGGCUGGGCGUGGUGGCUCAUGCCUAUAAUCCCAGCACUUUGGGAGGACAAGCAAGUGGAUCAUGAGGUCAAGAGAUGGAGACCAUCCUGGCAAACAAGGUGAAACCCCAUCUCUACUAAAAAUACAAAAUUUAGCCAGGUGUGGUCGCAAAUGCCUGUAAUCCCAGCUACUAAGGAGGCUGAGGCAGGAGAAUCGCUUGAACCCAGGAGGCAGAGGUUGUGAUGAGCUGAAAUCUCGCCAUUGCACUCCAGCCUGGAUGACAGAGCGAGACUGCGUUUCAGUCAAUCAAUCAAUAGUGUAUGCAUGUGUGUGAGUAUAUGUAUGUUAUAGAAUGUGUAUAUAAAGAAUAGUCAAAUAAUAUGAUACACUUAGCAUCCAUAACCAAUUAAUUAUGCCGUGCUGCCAGAUUAUUUUGCAUGUGCGUGUUCAUUUCCUAAUAAAUGUUACCAUUUCUAUUUAAUUGAAGAACAGCUUGAGAUUUUAAGAGAAGCUGAUUUUUUUUAAAUUAGUAUUUGUAUGGCAUUUGUGAAAAUUGAAUGUCUUCAUUGUAACAUAACAAAAACAAUUAGCUAUUGGGGCUAAUAUAAAACUGCAAUGGUAUCUACAACUUCAGAUUUCAUAUGCUUGCGUUAAUUAAAACAACCUAAUUUUUCUAACUGAAUUGACUAUAAUAUGUAAAUUUUAUAACCUCAAAUAGAUAAAAUAAAUGUACAUCUAAAAACAAGGUACUAUAACAUGAAAAUUAAACUCUUGAUUUAAAAAAUAUUGACUAACAUUUAAUUCAGAGACUUUGUGUUUUCUUUUUUUUUUUGAGACAGAGUCUCACUUCGUCGCCAGGUGCCAGGCUGGAGUGGAGUGGCACAAUCUCGGCUCACUGCAAUCUCCGCCUCCCUGGUUCAAGCAAUUCUCCUGCCUCAGCCUCCCGAGUAGCUGGGACUACAGGCGCACGCCACCAUUCCCAGCUAAUUUUUGUAUUUUUAGCAGAGACGGGGUUUCACUAUGUUGCCCAGGAUGAUCUCGAUCUCUUGACCUCGUGAUCCACCCGCCUCGGCCUCCCAAAGUGCUGGAAUUACAGGUGUGAGCCACCACGCCCGGCCGCUAUGUUUUCAUUUUAACUCCCAAUUUAGGUUUUUAUAUGUGACUGAAAUUUGUCAGAACAUAUGGACUUACAAUAAAUGUCUUUGCUUUAAAAUAUAUUCAUUUUUUAUCUAUAGAGAUAUAUUAUGUACUGACUUUUAAAUUAGUGUUAGAGUAUUUUCAGUCUUUUGGCCUUCUGCAGCUACCUUUCCAAAAAAAUAAUGGAAUCUUAGUGAAGUGUUUGGGUUGCAGUUUCCAUUACUGUUACCAGUUACCCAUAAUAGAUAUAUCAAUCAGGGGCCUUUGUUACUAUAGCAGUGUUACCUCAAAUAAAUUCAUUUAAGGCCACAUGUGGUGUCUCACUCCUGUAAUCCCAGCACUUUGGGAGGCUGAGGCAGGUGGAUUGCUUGAGCCCAGUUCAAGACCAGCUUGAGCAACAAAGUACGACCCCGUCUUUAAAAAUUAAAAAAUUAGCCAGACAGCCGGUGCAGUGGCUCACGCCUGUAAUCCCAGCACUUUGGGAGGCUGAGGCGGGUGGAUCGCCUAAUGUCAGGAGUUCGAGACCAGCCUGGCCAGCAAGGUGAAACCCCGUCUCUACUAAAAAAUUAAAAAAUGAGCCAGGUGUGGUGGUGGGUGCCUGUAGUACUAGCUACUUGGGAAACUGAGGCAGGAGAAUCACUUGAACCCAGGAAGCAGAGGUUGCAGUGAGCUGGGAUCGCACCACUGCACUCCAGCCUGGGCAACAGAGCAAGACUCUGACUCAAAAAAAAAAAAAAAACAACCAGCAUGGUACGUACCUGUGGUCCCAGCUACAUGAGAGGCUGAGGCAAGAGGAUCACUUGAGCCUAGAAGGUAGAGGCUUUCAGUGAGUUGUGUUCAUAGCACUGUGCUUUAGCCUGGGUGACAGAGCAAGACCCUGUUUCCAAAAAAAAAAAAGAAAAGAAAAGAAAUUCCAGGCGUGGAGACUCACACCUGGAAUCUCAGCACUUUGGGAGGCCGGCGGGAGGACCUCCCUACUAAAAUACAAAAAUGUGCUGGACAUGGUGGCGUGUGCCUAUAAUCCCAGCUACUAAGGAGGCUGAGGCAGGAGCAUUGCUUGAACCAGACCCGGGAGCUAGAGGUUGCAGUGAGCCGAGAUCCCAUCACUGCACUCCAGCCUGGGCUAUCGAGCAAGACUCCCUCUCAAAAAAAAAAAUUUUUUUUUGCUUUAUCUGGCAGAUACCCAAGCAGAGACAAAAAAAGCCUCUCACUGUGGAAAAAUGUACUAUUCUGGCAUUCUUAUACUAUUGUCAAGACUACUUGACAUUUGAAAGAAAUUAUUAUAUGUAUUAUAUGUGAUAUUACUAUUAUUUCAUCUGGAUAGUAAAAUAUUAAUGAUGAUUCUAAAUAAUGGGUAUAUGAAUAUUUAUUGUAAAAUUAUUUUCAUUCUUCUGUGCAUUUGAACAUUUGUAUAAUAGAAUACUGACAAGGAGAAAAAAAGCAUUCGAUACUCUCAGAAGCAAUUUUUUCCUUAUGUAUUUUGUGAAGAGAAGCAGAGUAACUUAACCCCUGAAAAUUAAGUUACUUGCUUAUUAUGUUUCUGGCUAGAUAUAAGUUUUCACAGAACCAAUCUGAAAUACAACUGGGUUUCUUUAUGUUUUGUUUUUUGUUUUUUUUGAGACGGAGUUUCACUGUUGUUACCCAGACUGGAGUGCAAUGGCACGAUCUCGGCUCACUGCAAUCUCCGCCUUCUGGGUUCAAGCAAUUCUCCUGCCUCAGCCUCCUGAAUAGCUAGGACUACAGGCAUGCACCACCAUGCCCAGCUAAUUUUUGUAUUUUUAGUAGAGACGGGGUUUCACCUUGUUGACCAGGAUGGUGAACACCCGUGAUCCACCCGCCUCGGCCUCCCAAAGUGCUGGGAUUAUAGGCAUGAGCCACUGUGCCCAGCUUAUGUUAUUUUGUUUUAUGUACAUAUUUGGGAAGUUAGCUUGUUUAUUCUUAACUCAUUUAAAAUUCUGUUAGCUUUGGAAGGUUUUAAAAAUGAGAUACACUGUCAUUAUUUUCAGUGUCGGAAAUUCUUCCUGCUAUCUCUGUUUUGAAAAUUUACUUGUUUUGUCUAUGUUCAUACCACCCUGAAUGUGCUCAAUCUCAUCUGAAAAUUUACUUGUUCUAUCACAAUUUAUAAGAAUCAAGUAUCUAGGCUGGGUGCAGUGGCUCACAUCUGUAAUUUCAGCACUUUGGGUGGCCAAGGUGGGAACAUGGCUUGAGCCUAGAAGUUGAAGAUCAGCCCAGGCAACAUGGCAAGACCCCAUCUCUACAAACAUUUUUUUUUUUUUUUUGAGACGGAGUUUUCCUCUUGUUACCCAGGCUGAAGUGCAAUGGCGUGAUCUCAGCUCACUGCAACCUCCGCCUCCCGGGUUCAGGCAAUUCUCCUGCCUCAGCCUCCUGAGUACCUGGGAUUACAGGCACGUGCCACCAUGCCCAGCUAAUUUUUUGUAUUUUUAGUAGAGACGGGGUUUCACCAUGUUGACCAGGAUGAUCUCGAUCUGUUGACCUCGUGAUCCACCCGCCUCAGCCUCCCAAAGUGCUGGGAUUACAGGCGUGAGCCACCGCGCCCAGCCUCUACAAACAUUUUUUAAAAAUUAGCCAGGUGUGUUGGUGUGUGAUUGUAGUUCCAGCUACUUGGGAGACUGAAGUAGGAGAAUCACUUGAGCCCAGCCCAGAAGGUGCCAAGGCUGCAGUGAGCUGUGUUCAUACCACUACCCCCCAGCCUGGGCAACAGAGCAACACCCUGUCUCAAAAAAAAAAAAAAAAAAAAUAGAAUAACAAUGAUCUUGUCUGCUUCUCUCAAAAAUCAUCAGAAAAAAAUAAUUGGGGGAAGAAAGAAAGAAGUCAACACCAUCUUCAAUAAGAAUAGGAAAUACCUGUACCAUCAAAUCACAAAAUAGCUUAAGAGCUAUCAAAUGGAAGAAAGACCAAAUAGGUAUGAAGAAAUGAUGAGAUGCCUACAUCUGCAGAUCUCAGUAAAAGCCAGUAGAGUUUAUUCUCUAAAGAAAGUGGUGUACGCCAGCCAUGGUGGCUCAUAUCUGUAAUCCCAGCACUUUUGGGAGGCCAAGGCAGGUGAUUAUGAGGUCAGGAGUUCAAGACCAGCCUCACCAAGAUAGUGAAACCCUGUCUCUACUAAAAAUACAAAAAUUAGACCAGGCUUGGUGGCUUACGCCUGUAAUCUCAGCACUUUAGAAGCCGAGGCUGGUGGAUCAUGAGGUCAAGAGAUUGAGACCAUCUGGGCUAACAUGGUGAAACCCCGUCUCUACUAAAAAAUACAAAAAAUUAGCCAGGCAUGGUGGUGUGUGCCUGUAGUUCCAGCUACUCAGGAGGCUGAGGCAGGAGAAUUGCUUGAACCCAGGAGGCAGAGGUUGCAGUGAGCCGAGAUUGCGCCACUACACUCCAGCCUGGCGACUGGUGACAGAGUGAGACUCUGUAUCAACAACAACAACAACAAAAUACAAAUAUUAGCUGGGAGUGGUGGUGGGGGUCUGUAAUCCCAGCUACUUGGGAGGCUGAGGCAGAGAAUUGCUGAACCUGGGAGGCGGAGGUUGCAGUGAGCAGAAGUUGCACCACUGCUGUUCAGCCUGGGCCACAGAGCAAGACUCCAUCUCAAAGUGAAAAAAAAAAAAGAGAGAGAGAAGAGAAAAGGAAAGAAAGAAAAGAGAGUGAUGUAUCCUGAGGAGCAAAAUCCAACAAUGUGGGAACCAUACAGGACUAGCAGUGGGAGCUUCUCAAGGCACCAAGGAGGAGAAGAGGCGUUGAAUGAAGAAUUGGAAAUAUACCAUAUUUGUUAAAAAGUGACCAACAUAGUGAAACCUUAUCUGUACUAAAAAUACAAAAAUUAGCCAGGCAUGUAGUGCAUGCCUAUAAUUCCAGCUACUCGGGAGGCUGAGGCAGGAUAAUCAUUUGAACUCAGGAGUUGGUGGUUGUAGUGAGCCAAGAUCACACCAUUGCACUUGAGCCUGGGCAAGAGUGAGACUCUGUCUCAAAAACAAACAAACAAACAAACAAACAAACAAACAAAAACUAGCAGGAGGAUGUACUCUAGUAAAAUCUAAGAACUAAUUUGUUAAAAUAAAUUUAAAAGAAGAGAAACAUGGGAUCUGGGAACAGGUGAUUCACCACAGAAGGGAUCCGUAAGGAAGUUCCAGGAUAUCAUUUCUUUAUCAGGUAUAGGCCAAGGAGUUUUCUAGGGGAAAAAAAAAAAAACAAGAAAUAGGCCUAGACCAGGGAGUUUCCUAGGAAAAAAUAAGGACUGAUUUAUAUGAGCAUAUGAAAAAUAUUAUUGAAUGAUGUGCCACAAUGAUGUUGGAGCAUUUGGAAAAAGCAUACUGAUAGGUAUGUUGGAAACAGAGCAAAUGAAAAAAAUAAAGCAGUUAUCAACUCUACGAAAAACAAAAUACAGUCAGGUACCCCAAAACAACGUUUUAGUCAUUAACAGGCCUCAUGUACAGUGGUACUCCCAUAAAAUCAUAAUAGAGCUGCCCUACCCUAUAAAGUAUAUCAUUUUUAUCUGUUAUACCAUAUUUUUUACUGUACUUUUUCUAUGUUUAGUUACACAAAUACUUACCAUUGUUUUAAAACUGCCUACAGUACUCAAUAUUGUAACACACUGUGCAGGUUUGUCUCUAGGAACAAUAGGCUGUACCAUAUAGCCUACAUGUGUAGUAGACUAUACCAUCAGGUUUAUAUGAGUAUGCUGUAUGAUGUUUGCACAAUGACAAAAUUGCCUGACAAUGCACUUCUCAGAACAUAUCCCCAUUAUUAAGUGACACAUGACUGUAAUUGUACAAGAAAGGAGUUGUGGUCUUAGUCUAUGCAGUUCACACUAUUUGUAUGACUGUAAUAGUAAUUUAAAACUCACUGAUUUAACCAAAUAUUGGGAGAAUUGAGGGAGAGGAAAGUCGUGUAUGUGAGAAUAAUUACUAAAACUUCAUGUUGGUAAAAUGAUAUUGUUAAUAUUGAUAAAGCAAGAAAUCAAAAAGAACUAAGAUGUCUUCUACCAUGGGGGGAAGAUAAUAAAUCUGGUAUUUAAUAUUGAUAAAUUAAGAAAUAUCAGUAUAAAUAUUUUCUUUAGAAAGAUGGAAACAGGCUGGACAUGGUGGCUCACACCUAUAAUUCUAGCACUUUGGGAGGCUGAGGCAGGUAGAUCACCUGAGGUGAAACCCCAUUUCUGCUAACAAUAUAGAAUUAGCUGGGCAUGAUGGCGGUUGCUGGUAAUCCCAGGUACUAGGGAAGCUGAGGCAGGACAAUCUUUUGAACCUGGGAGGCGGAGGCUUCAGUGAGCCAAUAUUGGGCCACUGUAUUCCAGCCUAGAUGACAAGAGUGAAGGUUUGCCUCAAAAAAAAAAAAAAGAAGAAGAAGAAGAAGAAAACAGGGAGAAUGACUAGAAGAGUUGAAAUUGGUAGCCUCUGGAGCUUAGAGAAGGAUGGGGAAGGGUCUUUCAUUAUAAGUCUUUUAGUACAAUUUGACUUUUUAAAGGAGGUGACUACAAUAUUUUGACAAAAAUAAAAAUAACCAAUAAGGGAUUAUUUGUGUGUAGCACACACAAAAAGUUAUGUAAAGCUAUUCUUGUAUUUAUUUGGCAUUAAUUACAAAUUAUAUCCUAUAGGUAACAACUGAAAAUUACUGAAGAUUAUGUUAUAUGGUACACUGUUUUGUAAAUAUACUGAUUUUUUUUUUUUUUUGAGACAGAGUCUCGCUCUGUUGCCAGGCUCCAGGCUGCUGUGCAGUGGCGCAAUCUCGGCUCACUGCAAUCUCUGCCUCCUCGAUUCAAGCAAUUCUCCUGCCUCAGCCUCCCAAGCAGCUGGGACUACAGGUGUGCACUACCAUGCCCAGCUAAUUUUUGUAUUUUUUAGUAGAGAUGGGGUUUCACCAUGUUGGCCAGGAUGGUCUCGAUCUCUUGACCUUGUGAUCUGCCUGCCUCGGCCUCCCAAAGUGCUGGGAUUAUAGGCGUGAGCCACCGUGCCCAGCUUUUUUUUUGAGACAGAGUCUUGCCGUGUCACCCAAGCUGGAGUGCAGUGGCAAGAUCUCAGCUCACUGCAACCUCAGCCUUCCCGGUUCAAGCGAUUCUCCUACUUCAGCCUCCCAAGUAGCUGGGAUUACAGGCAUGUGCCACCACACCUGGCUAAUUUUUUUGUAUUUUUGUAGAGAUGGGGUUUCACCAUGUUGGCCAGCCUGGUCUCAAACUCCUGACCUCAGGUGAUCCUCUCACCUCAACCUCCCAAAAUGUUGGGAUUAUGGGCAUGAGCCACUGUGCCUUGCCAAUUUUCUACUCUUAAGUAAGAUUCAUUCUAAGGAGUUAGGGAAUGACUUAAACCUACAUGAAUCAGAAAAAUAGUAAUACCCAUUCAGCAAAUAUGUAUUGAAUACCCUGUGCCAGUCACUGAUCUGGGCACUAGGCAUCAAAAAGAGACAAAAGCAUCUGCAGUCUAGUGAAGGAGCAGUGGAGACAUAAACAAUAAACAUAAUAAAAAUGGCGUGGCUGGGCACUUCAUCCCAGUACUUUCAGAGGCCAAGGCAGGCAGAUUGCUUUAGGUCAAGAGUUUGAGACCAGCCUAGCCAACAUGGUGAAACCGCAUCUCUACUAAAAAUACAAACAUUAGCUGGGCAUGGUGGUGGGCACCUGUAAUCCCAGCUACUCUGGAGGUUGAGGCAGGCGAAUCACUUGAACCCAGGAGGCAGAGGUUGCAGUGAGCUGAGAUCACGCCAUUGCAUUCCAGUCUAGAUGACAGAAUGAGACUCAAUCUCAAAAAAAUAAAAUAAAACAAUUUAAAAAAUGGCUGGACUAUAUUAGAAGUUGAUAAAGUCUAUGCAAAAAGAAAAUUACAUGCAACAUAGUAAGAGGGUUUGGAAAUGCAGCGAGAAGAGGAGAAACCAUCAAAGGAGACUGGAAGACAGAACUCUGUAAGUAGUAUAGGAAAAUGUGACAUUAUAGAAGCCUAGAGAAGAAAAUGUACCAAGGUAGAUGGCAUGAUCAGUAAUCAGAGGCUCCUGAGUGAAAUAGACUUGAGAAUAGACUACUGGAUUUAGCAACAGGAAAGUCUCAUAUGUGAUGCUGACAUGAGCUGUUUCAGUAAAGAUGUGCUAAUUUCUUCUCAUCGUGGAGAAAGGAUGACAAGAAAGUUACUGCUAAGCCCUCAUCUUUUUGUGAUCUUAUAGCAGUAGUGGUAGUUUGAUCUCUGGUAAAUUUGUAACAUCUAGAUUGCUAUUCACAGGAAACAGGAUAACUGGUUUUGCUUGGAUGUCAACUUGAUCAGUGUGAGUAAAUGGUAAGAUUAUACUGAUAGCACCCAUAGGGAAUGAGAUUUCUGUUGUGAAAACCCCAAACCCAGAACUGCAGGAACUAGUCCUUUGGUAAGUUACAUGAUUUAGGUACAGAAGGGCUAAUGAAGAGAAUUGGUGGUGUGUGGGCUUUACAAUAGGAGUUGACUCCAGGUGGCAUUCUUAGAGGUUGCUAUAGAAAGAAAAUAGCUUAAAUUCAGCCCCAAUUUUAAUUCCAUCUAGUCCACUAAGAAAAAGAAUACUAAGUCAGGUGGAGAACUUGCCUUCUUUAUUUUAGCUUAAUGUGUUAUUCUAGAUUUAGAAUACAUUUGAUUAACUGGGGUAAGGGGAUGAUCAGAAAUUCAAUAUUUAACUACUGUCAUUCUAGCAAGGGCAUACUGAGCAGAUAACAUCAUCAUAAUAUGUGGGCUGAGAUGAGGCUGCUCCAGAUGAGUCUCUCUCAAAGUUAAUUGAUGGAAACUUCCCACCUUCAAGAAUUUUUAUUACCUUAGCAAUGCUAUGCCAAGACUGCUGAAACACAGCUGUGGGUGCUGUGCAGACGCCCACAUUGCCAAUGUCAGGAAGGAUGUACUUUUAAACCUCUAAUUUAUCUAAUAAUGUCAUUAGUGAUUCAUGUAGGUUUGACAUUGUGAUAAAAAUUCUUCCUGGCUUGGUUUAUAACAAGAAUUCGGUUUGUAGUCUUAAAAUUAUAUUGUCUUAAUAUGCAUGUGGAAGAUACUAACAAGUCAACUUACAAAAAGAUCUGACUAAAAUACCAUCCUGUCUAUCUAAAGGAACUUACUAUCCACCAUGGUAUUUGAAAAUGAAUGCAAAUUAAAUGUUUUUAUGCUGUAGUAAUCUAUUUGUUGUGGUUCCUGCUUUAUAACAAGACGGCAAGAUUCAGUGCUGAAAGAGAGCCAGCUUUCAUAUUCAGUCCAGUCUGACUCCUUUCCUAUUCUCUAAUGGAAAAUAUGAAUAGAUUGGAUUGAUGUCAGCUUAUAUAGUGGAGAUGGAAUAGUAAACUCUUGUAAAUAAAUAUUUUUAAAGAGGUAGGAAAUAGUACUUCCUUGUUUAAAAUAUAAAAUUUUAUAGUAACAAUAUUGUUUUAUAUGAUGUUUAUCAUGUAGGCAUGUCUCUUUUUUGUUUGUUUUUGAGAUGGAGUCUCACUUUGUCCAGUCCAGACUGGAGUGCAGUGGUGUGAUCUUGGCUCACUGCAACCUCCACCUCCCGGUUGAAGUGAUUCUCCUGCCUCAGCCUCCCAGGUAGCUGGGAUUACAGGCACCCGCCACAACACCCAGCUAAUUUUUGUAUUUUUAGUAGAGACAGGAUUUUACCAUUUUGGCCAGGCAGGUCUCGAACUCCUGACCUCGUGAUCUACCUGCCUUGGCCUCCCAAAGUGCUGGGAUUACAGGUGUGAACCAUUGUGCCCAGCCAUAGGCACUUCUCUUUAAUACAAAAUGUGAAGUAUUCUUUCCUAACUAAUGGAUUCACUGCAAGGAUUGAUUGCGUUUAUCAAAAUCAGUAUAUAUUUAAUGUUUCAGAAUACACCCACUGCAUAAAGUAGAGUAUUCCUAAUUACUGAUAGAAAGAAUAUAUGGCGUUUGUUCCACUCUACUGGACUACGUGAAAACCUUUGGAUCUGAAGUGUCUUUAUACUUUUAAGCUGCCUUUGUCCCAUGUUUGAAAUUAAAAAACCUCAUUUGGAAUAGAAUUAUAGAAGUAGAAUUUUAGACCUGGAUUGACUUUAGAGUUGUUUUUGUUUGUUUGUUUGAGGUAGAGUUUUGCUCCUGUUACCCAGGCUAGAAUGCAAUGGCAUGAUCUUGGCUCACCACAAUCUCUACCUCCUGGGUUCAAGUGAUUCUCCAGCCUCAGCAUCCCGAGUAGCUGGAAUUACAGGCAUGUGCCACCAUGCCUGGCUAAUUUUUUAUUUUUAGUAGAGAUGGGGUUUCUCCAUGUUGGUCAGGCUGGUCUAAAAACUCCUGACCUCAGGUGAUCCACCCACCUCGGCCUUCCAAAGUGCUGGGAUUACAGGUAUAAUCCCCACUCCUGGCCGACUUUAGAAUUAUUUUAUAUUCUGAUUUCUUAAUUUUCUAGUUGAAGAAAUUGAAACCCAGAGAGUUUAAGUGUCUUUUCUAAGAUUACCCAGCUAGAACUAGAAUCCACCUUUCUAACUCCUUAUAUUUCUGCUCUAAUUUCUUGUCCCCAACAAGUUAAUCAAAUAGCAAUUACAUUGUAAAUUGGCAGAAGGUUUAUGUCUCUGUCAUGUGUGUGUAACUAUAUAUAUUUUCAGGCUCCAAAGUCAAUAGUGAUCUGUAAUUAUUCUUCAUAUGUAUCUAUGUUUUUAUCUUUGUAGUUACAUGGAAAAUUCACAGUGUUUAAAUUAUAAGUUAAAGUGAUUUCUGAGUAUCUGUGAAUAUAUAAAAAAUAGUCUUUAAUAUAUAGGUAACAAGGAUCCAUAUAUAAUUAAGUCCUGCAAGCACUAUAGGUGAAGGAAAUGCUAAGAAUUCUCCUAUGACUGGGCCCCAUUAUGAAAUUUAAAGAAAUCAAUACUUAUCUAAAGCAUAGGAAAUGAACAUGCUCAGUACUGAUAGGCUAUCUAUGCUAAUACACUAAUUCUUUUUUUUUUUUUUUUUUUUUUUGA